CUGUUGCAGAAACUGAAUCGAAGCCCGCAGAAACUGUUGCAGCUGCAUAAUUUGGGUCACUAGUGGCCAGAAAGCUGUUGCUUUCACUUAUUAUGUUACUCUUAAGGAGCUAAAAUGUAUGUUACGGGUCAACAAUAAUAAACAUGUACAAUACCUCGGUGUGUGGUGUUCAGUAUUCGCUAAUUAACUGUAAGCUCCAUUUAUCUUUUAUUUGAGAUGCUCCGUGCAACAGAAACUAGAAAGUGUUUUGGCUGUCUAAAUUUAUCAAGGUGCUGAUAUUCAUGUUGUAACUAAGUUGUUCAUUUGAUUUUGUGGUAUACUUCCAACAUCAGUAAAUCAGGAACCAAGGGAUACGAAGAGUGUCAAGGUCAUGCGAAACCAUGAAUUUCAUGUAAUGGUUCUUCUGGAUAGAUUGGCUAAAAAAAAGUUGUCGCUAGCCAUUCCCAACCAUAAAAAGCCAUGCAGGACCUUGAUAUUUGGAUUGGUUUUUUCCUCAGCCACCAUUAGUUGUUUCAAUUUUGAGUCACUUGAUUAUGGGGCCGUAGGUAGGAUAUAAUCGAGGACUUGGCUGGUAGUCUUCAAAAAAUCAAGAACCCAUAUGGAAGAUAUUUGCUGCCCAUCAUUAUUAUCUAUGGAUUUGGUCAUCUGCUCGCUUAUCAUUAAAUCCGUCAGUAUCGUCCUAGGCCAUGACCUUGUGCGUUAGCUAUAAUAUCAAUGAUUUAACAUGCAUGGGGUGAUGGUGCUUUGCAAAUGCAUUUCUGAUUUAUUUAUAUAUCUCCAAAAAAAAAAAAAAAAAGGUUUCGGAAGCGUAGCCAUUGCAAACUUAAAACUGGAAAAUCAGAAAACGGAGAUAAAUUUGCCGCCUUGAGCUUGGCAUCUAUAGACACGGCUAACUAACGUAUUGUUUUGGCAAGGAAAAGACAAGCUUCCAGCCUCGUAUGGCUUUUUUUUUUUCCUUUUCUUUUCUUUAAUUUGAUUACUUUUUCUCCACGCUUUCACGUACGUGCAGUUUUCAGCUACCAUAAGAGAUACUAAUAUGUCUAAUUGCUUGCAACAAUCCACUGUUUAGAGAAGAAAACAGAAAAAGGAAGUAGUUGUAAGGAAAAGAAAGAUGCCCAUUAAUUCCAUAACAGAACACCACAAUAACCAUCAUGCAGUCCUUUGCUUCCCUCUUGCAGAAUUGCGCCAAGCACAAGUCCAUUUUCAGCGGCAAAGCAGUUCAUGCUCAGCUAAUCAGGUCCGGAUUUAUCCCAGAUGUUUAUACAAACAAUCAUAUGCCCUCGUUGUACCUACAGUUGGGGCAGAUGGGCUAUGCUCAAACCGUGUUCGACAUAAUGCCAAAACGAAACGUUAUCACUUGGACGACGUUGAUUUGCUCGUUUUCUCAGAUGGAUCUCUCGGAAAAAGCCUUAAGUUGCCUUAGGUCAAUGGUUCUUGAAGGGUUUUUGCCGAACGAGCAUACUUAUGUUGGUGCUAUAUCUGCUUGUGUUAAUACAAGGGCUGUUAGUAUUGGGAAGGAAAUUCACGGGAGGAUAUAUAGGACUCAGGAUAGUUUGAAUAGCUUUGUCAGUAAUUCUUUGGUUAAUUUUUACGGCAAAUGUGAGUUGUUGAAGUCGCCUAGGCUUGCAUUUGCUGCUAUCUUGGAGCCUAAUUUGGUUGCCUGGGCUUCACUCAUAUCUUGUUGUUUUCAGUGUGGACAGAACGAGGAAGGUUUGAAAUUGUUCUUAAGGUCCUUGAGGGUGGGAAUGACUGUUAACGAGUUCACUUGUUCGAGUGUUCUGGGUGCUUGUACUAUGUUGGAAAUUUUGGAACUUGGGAAGCUACUCCACUGCCCAGUCGUUAAGUGUUGUAUUCCUGCACAAUUGUAUUCCUGCACAAAGGAAGUGUCAUCCCCUUUACCCUGCUCAAUGAAAACAACUAUGAUAUCCCUCUUCAGCAGAGACUUUAUCCAAUAAUCAUAAUUAACCAUCUCCCUUGUACUUUCUUACGCAUACCAGCUAUAUAUCCCUUAAAUUCUCUCUAUUUUCCAUCCAGUUAUAUAUAACAAUAUAAAAAUAAACAUAUCCAAAUUAUACCAAAUUAUUCAUUUACCUUAAAUUUUAAAAAAAUAAUUUACAUUUCAUUAUUUUAACUAAUAUUUCCAUCCAUUCUAAAUAUCAAUUAUUAAAUGAAUCUUACAUUACAUAUAUAUAUGUAUAUAUAUAUAUAUAUAUGUACACGCACAUAAACAAAUAAAUAAAUAUAAAAUAAACAAACAAAACCACAAAAUAUAUAAACACUACAAAAAUUUCAACUAUUCUAUCACCUAAAAUAAAAUACUAAACACACACACACACACAUAUACAUAAAUACAUACAUACAUACAUACAUAUCACAAAAUAUAUCAUAUACCUAUAACUACAUAUUAAUACAAAAUUCACUCCAACUUUAAAUAACAUAAAAUAACUCAUAUAAACAUCAAACAAUAAAUAUUAAAAAAAUUCUACCACAAAUUCCACUAAUUAAACUCUAAAUUUUCAUAUCCAAUAAUUUUUAUUUCUUAUAUAAAAAUUUAUACACAUCACCUUAACUUCAAUAAUAUCCAUUCAUCAAUAAACUAUUAAUAUAUCAACUCUCUCAGCUCUCAAAAUCAAUAUUAUCCUUUAUUCAUUCAAAUUCUAUUAAUCAAAUCAAUUUUACUAUAUUUAUUUAUAAAUAAAUAAAUCCAAUAUAUCAAUACUCUAUCCACUCUUCCAACCCCAUUAUCAUACAAAAUACUAUAAAUCUAUACUAUUAAAUAAAUCUUUCAUUACCCUAAUAUAUUUAAUAAUGGACUCCCCGCGGAAGCCGCGGGGCACCAAGCCUAGUGAUAAUUUUAAUUCAGUCAUCAGCAAUCAUGUCUCAGGUACUCCCUUCUUCUUCUUCUUCUUCUUCUUCCCUCCGAUUUCUUGUUUGGUAGCAUUCAUGAUUAGUUUUGUAAAUUCAGGUGGAAUCAGGUUGCGAAUGCUGGUCUGUUUGGAUUGUAAGUUAUUUGGGAUUAUUUGAGAUAUUUUUACUGUAACACUUUUUGUGAUGUGAUGUAUGUGAGAUAAAAAGAUAUUGGGAAGAUAAAAAGGUGUAUUGGAAAUUGUAAAUAUAAUGUAAGCAAAUAAAAUUGGAAAAAUAUGAAGCAAUCCAAACAAACCAUAAUCUCAUAGUUUAGCUAAAAGUUUCCCGUUAGUUGCCCUACCCGAAAUUUCUCGAAUUAGAACUGAUUUGGGUGCCCUAAGAUUUAAUCGGGGUAAUUUGCUUAGUUGAAAUUAGGCUAUUUUCCGUGUUCAUGUAAGAUAAUGUGGUUACUCAUCUGUUCUUGAAUAUUUAUGUAUGUAAAAGUGUCCCUUUUUUUUUUUUUUUUUUUUUUAAAUGUAAUACAACGCUUUAUCACCGCUAGCAUUUGGUUCUACCGAAGCAUCGAGCAGGCAAUUUGGAAGUAGCAUGGGAAUAUAAGCAAUGCUUUACUCGACUUGUAAUUCUGACCUUAAUAUUUCUCAUUUUCCAUGUUUGCAGACUGUUGUCCUCAAGGUUGGCAUGUCAUGCCAAGGCUGUGUUGGAGCUGUGAAUCGGGUGUUAAGCAAAAUGGAAGGUUUGUCAACUUGCCUAUUCUUCUACUAUCCUUCAUUUGAUUGUUUGUCAUUGACACCACUGACUUUGAAACUAUCAAUGAGGAAAAUCUGUGCCCCCUGACCAUGUUGAUUAUGCUCUUCGGAUGUGCAAUAUAGCCUUUUGCUGUAAUAUCUUGUCAGAAGUGUGCAAAAUCUGGUGGCCACCUAGAGAAAUUGGUUAGCUGAGUUGGUGCUUGAUUUUACAAAUGAUUUCUCAACUGUCAAAUAAGCCUGUCCCAGAACUUUCAUGUUCUUGUAAAGUAAUAGAAGUGAAGGUUUGUUGAUUGAUUAGUCGUUCAGUGCUUAUUUCAGACUGCAUGGUAGCCGGCUUAAUAAUUCCUGACUUUGCACCAGGCCAUAGUUUCAAGUGCUAUUUUGAUCAAAAGAAACUAGUGAUAUUUGCAUUCAGCACUUGGCUGUUUCUUUGUUAAUUGCCCAAAAAAAAAAGGAUAGAAGUUUGCCAAUAUAGAGCUGAGAAUUUAAAUACCAUUCAUAUAGCAAAUGAGUCGACUAUAUCAGACUCGUAUACCGCUGCAGACUCUGCAAUAUUCUAUUAUUUUUAUCAACUGAUCACAUGUUGAACAUUGUUCUAUAUAUAAUGUCAAGAAGAAAGUCUAGCCUAGAUUGCAUUUAGGGAGCCUUGUAGGAGAAGGAGAGAUGAGACUCUUGAAAGCAAUAUCGGAUGCUUGCACACACUUUUCGAGCUUUGGUUUCGGAUCCACUUAUAACCCCUAUGCAUUUGCCAUCGAGGAGUUUGCCUUUACUAAAUCGAGCACCACUUGUAAGUCAUUUUUUAACUCAAGGUGUGGGGGAAUGUCGGUUGGAACCCUUCUUCUUUUACCAACUGAGCUAUCAAAAAAUGUAGUAGUGAAGAAAGAAUUGGUGCGGAAAAUGGGAUGGCCCCCUCUUCUCAUCACAUUAAAGACGUGCGGCUCUAUAUAAGGCUCGUACUUCAGAGCAAGUGAAGAAAAAAUAAGAGUGCACGUUACCACUCUUGCAAGAAAAAUGGCCUAGCUAAGGCGCCUCUUAUUUAUUAAUAACUAAAGAAAAACUUUGAUAUAAGAAAGAUGCGCUCAAGCACCCAACCUAUAUAAGGGGUGCUUGGGCUCGAAAGCCGGCCUAACUCAGCAAGCAUCUUUCUUAGUAAUAUAGGUAGAGUUGGGGCCGUGCUUUCUGAGAUCUGUCAGGCUCCGGCCUAGCACCGCCACAAUGGCUUCAAGAGUCACCGGAAAGUUAACAGAAUGAGAGGAAAGAGAGAAAGGUAGGUAGAGGGAGAGAGAGAGGGAAAUAACAGAAAGAGGGAAGAAUUGGAAUUUGUUGAUUUCAGACAAUAAGAUCCUAACUGCCUAUUACAAUCCUCCGGUGGGUUAUUUAUGCAAUUAAGCUUUAACCGUCUUUAUUCACUACUAAUUGCCACUUAGUUGAACGACACCGUUUCUGGCAUCUGUGCCCUGUGCCUACCAAACGCUACGUUUUGUGAACAAAACGACAAUAGCUAACUUCUGAGUUCCUGACAAUCCCUCCCCCUUAAGCAAAGCUUGUCCUCAAGCUUGGAAUGCUGGAAACUGUUUGUCGAUGAAGUCCUUGUCUUCCCAAGAGGCCUCGGAUUCUGGUAGCUGAUCCCACUUCAUUAAGUACUGGAUGACCACGAUAGAGUUACGCCUGAUAGCUCGUCUUCUCAAGACUGCCUCAGGUUGAAGUAAGCAUUGGUCAGAGGAGUCCCAAGCAGGCAACAUAGGGUCAGUGCCCUGAGCAUCUCCAAUCCUUUUCUUUAACAGUGAAACAUGAAACACUGGAUGAACCUUAGCUCCAUCAGGUAACCGUAACCUAUAGGCCACCGCCCCUACCUUGGCAAUGAUCUGGAAAGGUCCAUAGUAUUUUGCUGUGAGCUUCAAACUUUUUCGAAGAGCCACCGUUUGUUGUCUAUAAGGUUGUAGUUUAAGAAACACCCAAUCCCCCACUUGAAGUGUACGUUCCGAUCUAUGUCUGUCAGCAAAGAGUUUCAUGCGGUUCUGUGCCUUUGCCAAAUUCUCCUUGAUGAGCGAAAUGACCUGGAGCCUAUCCUGCACCAGGUCAGUUGCAGCUGGGAUAACACUGUCGUGGAAAGGCCCCAAGGGAAUGUGGUUGGGCUUGUAUCCAUACAAUGCCUCAAAUGGAGUAAUCUGUAAGCUGGUGUGGAAGUUGGUGUUGUACCAAAGCUCAGCUGUGGGUAGCCAUCUACUCCAUUGAGAGGGGUGUUCACUGCACAUACACCUAAGAUAUGUUUCCAGGCAUUGGUUCACGCGCUCACUCUGACCAUCAGACUGGGGAUGGUAGGAUGAGCUAUAAUGCAGGCCAACUCCCAACAGAUGGAACAACUCUUGCCAAAACCUGCUAACAAAAAUUUUAUCCCUAUCUGAAAUCACAGAUUCUGGUAGUCCAUGAAGCCUAUAAAUCUGGUCAAGGAAGACCUGGGCUAUCUGUUGCGCAGUGAAAAGAUGUGUGAGACGAAUGAAGUGACUGAAUUUUGUCAGUCGAUCCACCACUACUAAGAUAGUGUCACAACCAUGAGAUAGGGGCAGCUGCUCAAUGAAAUCCAUGGAUAUGUGGGACCAUGCCUGUUGUGGAACUGGGAUAGGUUGCAAAAGUCCAGGAUAGGGAACAUUCUCAUGCUUGUUCCUUUGGCAUACAUCACAAGACCUGACAAAAGUGACAACAUCCUGCUUGAGCCCCGGCCAAAAAAAUAAAGUUUGUAUCCUGUGUAGACAUCCCCUUUGGCCAGAAUGCCCCCCUACUGCUGAGUCAUGUAGAGCCUUGAUCACCUUGCCACGAAUACUAUUAGCAGAUCCCACAUAUAAUCUAUCUUUAAACUUGAGCAUUCCCUUAUCCAAGUGAUAGUCUGAUACUGCAUUGGGGUCUAACAGGAGCUGAGCUAUCUUCUACUGAGCUUCAUUAUCCCCCUCAUAGCUUGCAACCAACUCCUGCAUCCAUGUUGGUUGGACUGAGGAAAUUGCACACAUGGUACAAUUUACUGCUACGUCCCCCUGAGGGUGUUCAAACUUCCUCCUGGAUAGCGCAUCUGCCACCCCAUUUCAGCUCCUUUUUUGUACUGGAUUUCGUAGUCCAGGCCAAGUAAUUUGGUGAGCCAUUUAUGUUGCAGGGGGUGCGUGAGCUUCUGCUCCAGCAAGUGUUUGAGAGCUUGGUGGUCAGUUUUGAUGACAAAAUGAUGGCCCACCAAGUAGUGUUUCCAUUUGGUCACGGCUAGCACCAGAGCAAAUAGCUCCUUCUCAUAAACAGAUAACCCCAAGUUCUGGCUGGAUAGAGCUUUGCUGAGGAAAGCUAUAGGGUGUCCAUGUUGCAUUAGCACUGCUCCAAUCCCUACCCCACAAGCAUCAGUCUCUAUGACAAAAGGAAUUUCAAAAUCUGGCAUACUGAGUACUGGAGCUGUGGUCAUAGCUCUUUUGAGGUCUUCAAAAGCCAUCUGAGCAUGAUGGUUCCACCCAAAACUCUCCUUCUUCAGUAGCUGAGUUAAAGGCUUGCAAAUCACACCAUACCCCUUUAUAAAUCUUCUGUAAUAUCCAGUCAGCCCCAAGAAUCCCCUUAAUUCCUUAACUGAGUUAGGAGUGGGCCAAGACAGGAUACAUCCCACCUUAUCUGGGUCCAUGUUGACACCAACCUCAGAAAUCACAUGCCCCAAAUACUCCAUGGAUGUCUGAGCAAAAGAGCAUUUUGACUUUUUACAGUAUAACUGGUUAUCCGCUAAGAUUUGGAGUACAAUUUUUAGGUGCUGCGCAUGUGACUCUAGAGUGGGACUGUAGACCAAGAUGUCAUCAAAAAAUACCAAUACAAAUUUUCUCAGGAAUGGCUGGAAAAUCCUAUUCAUCAAAGCCUGAAAUGUAGCUGGUGCGUUUGUUAGGCCAAAAGGCAUUACUAGAAAUUCAAAGUGCCCAUGGUGUGUUUGGAAAGCAGUCUUGGGAAUGUCUGCUACCUUGACCCUCAACUGAUGGUACCCAGCCCUGAGGUCUAACUUAGACAUAAAUUUGGUGCCAUGUAACUCAUCUAGCAAUUCAUCAAUAUUGGGGAUGGGAAAUCUAUCCUUGACAGUCACCUCAUUGAGCUUCCUGUAGUCUAUACAUAAUCUCCAAGUGCCAUCUUUUUUUUUAACUAACAAGACAGGGGAAGCAAAAGGACUAGUACUGUGUUUAACAAUUCCAUUCGUAAGCAUUUCUGCAACCUGCUUCUCAAUUUCUGCUUUAUGGGAGUGGGGAUACCUGUAAGGCUUGAGUUUAAAUGGUUCUGCCCCUGGUUUGAGAGGGAUUUGGUGAUCCAGCUCCCUUUCUGGAGGUAGUCCCGUUGGAGUAGCAAAGAUCUGUGGAAACUGCUGUAAGACCUGUUCCACCAACUCUGGGAUGUCCUUCUGAAGGUCUUUGGUGGAGUUCGUCUGCAGGUGUGCACAACUCUUCUUUCGUUCUUGGAUGAAGGAUCUGAGGUCCCUUCCCCUCACAAGCUCCAUCGUAGGUUGAUUUAUGAACCCUUGGAGGUGGAGUAAUUGCCCUCGAUCACUGAGUGCUAUGCUGAGAGUGUGGAAGUCAAAGGUGAUUGGACUGAACUGACACAUCCAGUCAACCCCCAGGAUGAUAUCCCAACCUCCUAGUUCCAUUAUCUUCAUGUCAAACUGAAAUUUGUAGUCUUGUAUCCUCCAGGCUACCUUAGGACAGGCUGUCCCACUGGUGAUGUCUGUCCCAUUGGCUAAAGUCACAAUAAAAGGAUUCACAGAUUGAUAAGGUAAAUGCAGUAAGGUAACAAUUCUAUGGUUGAUGAAACUGUCAGAACUCCCGGUGUCCACUAGUAUUUUAAUUGGUAAGCCACCUAUACUGCCAAUUAGCAUGAUGGACUUCCUCUGAAUGGCACCAGACAAGGCAUUCAGUGAUACUUCAGCCGUCUCUCCAACUCUGCCAGUAAACUCAUCCUGUUCCCCCACUGCAUCCUCAAAAUCAUUCUCUUCUUCCUCUUCCUCUUCCACACUAACGCAGUUCAAACCUCUUGUCCUGCACUGGUGUCCCAACCCAAACUUCUCUCCACACCUGUAGCAUAGGUUGUUUUUGCGCCUGUACUGCAGCUCUUCUGCUGAAAGUCUUCCUACCUCCUUGUGUGCAACUUCGGUCCUUCUAGAGUUAGGAGUUAUCGCAGGAAGCCUGUAAGAAUUAGGUAGAUUCUGUCCACCAGGUUGCCCCUUGUACAUCCCAAACUUAGGCUCCAUGGCAAUCUUGCCAGAAUUUUUAGUCUGCUUACAUUGCACCUCCAGUGCAUACUCCUGCAACUCUGCUACUUCAAAUGCUUUGGUCAAUGUCUGUGGUCGAAACAUCUUUACCAUGGGCUUGAUCUCCUCUUUUAACCCACUGAUAAAGCUGGAAACAAAAUAGGACUCAUCUAAUCUGGGGUUCUUGGUUAACAUCAAAGUUUUUAAUUCUUCAAAUUUUUCCUCAUACUCCUCCACUGUCCCCACUUGUUGCAGCUUGUUAAAUUCUUCUACGAUGUCGAGCGAUCCCUUGCCAGAGAAACGCUCACAUAGCAACUCGCUAAACUCUUCCCAAUUUAGCCCAGGUAUAGCUAAUUUCACCCCUUGGAACCAAUUAUCGGCUUUGCCUUCUAAGAACAUCUCCACUAAAUCCACUUUCUGGCAAGCAGGUAUGUGAUAGUUCAAAAAAUAUUUAUGACAUUUCCUAAGCCAUUCCCUUGGAUUCCCUGCCAUAAACAUCGGCAAAUCUAAUCUAGGUAAAUUGGGGGUGAACAUCCUACCUCUGGACUCCUGCUGUUGGCCGGCCAUUUCAGCCUGAGUCGCCAGUCGGACAUGCGAGGGUGGUGUAGGUAGAAGAGGUUCGGAAGGUCCUCCUUCAUUCUCCUGGCCUCCCUUGUCCUUCAUCAUCACUUUCAUUAACGCGUUGAACUUUUGCUCCAACUUGCAGAACUUCUGGUCCAGAUUUCCCACCACCGACUCCAGUCUCGAGUUGCUCUUCUCCAUUUCCUCAUUGAGUCUCUGUUGUAGCUCAUUCUGCGCCGACGUGUGCAGAGCAACCAUGGAUUCGGCCAAUUCCUGGAGCUUACUCUCCUGUUUCUUCAGCUGAUCCUCCAAGGAUCGGUAUCUCGUGCCUUCCGCCAUGGCAGGUCUUCUUCCUCAGCAGCCAAGGAUCGGCUGCUCUGAUACCAACUGUCAGGCUCCGGCCUAGCACCGCCACAAUGGCUUCAAGAGUCACCGGAAAGUUAACAGAAUGAGAGGAAAGAGAGAAAGGUAGGUAGAGGGAGAGAGAGAGGGAAAUAACAGAAAGAGGGAAGAAUUGGAAUUUGUUGAUUUCAGACAAUAAGAUCCUAACUGCCUAUUACAAUCCUCCGGUGGGUUAUUUAUGCAAUUAAGCUUUAACCGUCUUUAUUCACUACUAAUUGCCACUUAGUUGAACGACACCGUUUCUGGCAUCUGUGCCCUGUGCCUACCAAACGCUACGUUUUGUGAACAAAACGACAAUAGCUAACUUCUGAGUUCCUGACAAUCCCUCCCCCUUAAGCAAAGCUUGUCCUCAAGCUUGGAAUGCUGGAAACUGUUUGUCGAUGAAGUCCUUGUCUUCCCAAGAGGCCUCGGAUUCUGGUAGCUGAUCCCACUUCAUUAAGUACUGGAUGACCACGAUAGAGUUACGCCUGAUAGCUCGUCUUCUCAAGACUGCCUCAGGUUGAAGUAAGCAUUGGUCAGAGGAGUCCCAAGCAGGCAACAUAGGGUCAGUGCCCUGAGCAUCUCCAAUCCUUUUCUUUAACAGUGAAACAUGAAACACUGGAUGAACCUUAGCUCCAUCAGGUAACCGUAACCUAUAGGCCACCGCCCCUACCUUGGCAAUGAUCUGGAAAGGUCCAUAGUAUUUUGCUGUGAGCUUCAAACUUUUUCGAAGAGCCACCGUUUGUUGUCUAUAAGGUUGUAGUUUAAGAAACACCCAAUCCCCCACUUGAAGUGUACGUUCCGAUCUAUGUCUGUCAGCAAAGAGUUUCAUGCGGUUCUGUGCCUUUGCCAAAUUCUCCUUGAUGAGCGAAAUGACCUGGAGCCUAUCCUGCACCAGGUCAGUUGCAGCUGGGAUAACACUGUCGUGGAAAGGCCCCAAGGGAAUGUGGUUGGGCUUGUAUCCAUACAAUGCCUCAAAUGGAGUAAUCUGUAAGCUGGUGUGGAAGUUGGUGUUGUACCAAAGCUCAGCUGUGGGUAGCCAUCUACUCCAUUGAGAGGGGUGUUCACUGCACAUACACCUAAGAUAUGUUUCCAGGCAUUGGUUCACGCGCUCACUCUGACCAUCAGACUGGGGAUGGUAGGAUGAGCUAUAAUGCAGGCCAACUCCCAACAGAUGGAACAACUCUUGCCAAAACCUGCUAACAAAAAUUUUAUCCCUAUCUGAAAUCACAGAUUCUGGUAGUCCAUGAAGCCUAUAAAUCUGGUCAAGGAAGACCUGGGCUAUCUGUUGCGCAGUGAAAAGAUGUGUGAGACGAAUGAAGUGACUGAAUUUUGUCAGUCGAUCCACCACUACUAAGAUAGUGUCACAACCAUGAGAUAGGGGCAGCUGCUCAAUGAAAUCCAUGGAUAUGUGGGACCAUGCCUGUUGUGGAACUGGGAUAGGUUGCAAAAGUCCAGGAUAGGGAACAUUCUCAUGCUUGUUCCUUUGGCAUACAUCACAAGACCUGACAAAAGUGACAACAUCCUGCUUGAGCCCCGGCCAAAAAAAUAAAGUUUGUAUCCUGUGUAGACAUCCCCUUUGGCCAGAAUGCCCCCCUACUGCUGAGUCAUGUAGAGCCUUGAUCACCUUGCCACGAAUACUAUUAGCAGAUCCCACAUAUAAUCUAUCUUUAAACUUGAGCAUUCCCUUAUCCAAGUGAUAGUCUGAUACUGCAUUGGGGUCUAACAGGAGCUGAGCUAUCUUCUACUGAGCUUCAUUAUCCCCCUCAUAGCUUGCAACCAACUCCUGCAUCCAUGUUGGUUGGACUGAGGAAAUUGCACACAUGGUACAAUUUACUGCUACGUCCCCCUGAGGGUGUUCAAACUUCCUCCUGGAUAGCGCAUCUGCCACCCCAUUUCAGCUCCUUUUUUGUACUGGAUUUCGUAGUCCAGGCCAAGUAAUUUGGUGAGCCAUUUAUGUUGCAGGGGGUGCGUGAGCUUCUGCUCCAGCAAGUGUUUGAGAGCUUGGUGGUCAGUUUUGAUGACAAAAUGAUGGCCCACCAAGUAGUGUUUCCAUUUGGUCACGGCUAGCACCAGAGCAAAUAGCUCCUUCUCAUAAACAGAUAACCCCAAGUUCUGGCUGGAUAGAGCUUUGCUGAGGAAAGCUAUAGGGUGUCCAUGUUGCAUUAGCACUGCUCCAAUCCCUACCCCACAAGCAUCAGUCUCUAUGACAAAAGGAAUUUCAAAAUCUGGCAUACUGAGUACUGGAGCUGUGGUCAUAGCUCUUUUGAGGUCUUCAAAAGCCAUCUGAGCAUGAUGGUUCCACCCAAAACUCUCCUUCUUCAGUAGCUGAGUUAAAGGCUUGCAAAUCACACCAUACCCCUUUAUAAAUCUUCUGUAAUAUCCAGUCAGCCCCAAGAAUCCCCUUAAUUCCUUAACUGAGUUAGGAGUGGGCCAAGACAGGAUACAUCCCACCUUAUCUGGGUCCAUGUUGACACCAACCUCAGAAAUCACAUGCCCCAAAUACUCCAUGGAUGUCUGAGCAAAAGAGCAUUUUGACUUUUUACAGUAUAACUGGUUAUCCGCUAAGAUUUGGAGUACAAUUUUUAGGUGCUGCGCAUGUGACUCUAGAGUGGGACUGUAGACCAAGAUGUCAUCAAAAAAUACCAAUACAAAUUUUCUCAGGAAUGGCUGGAAAAUCCUAUUCAUCAAAGCCUGAAAUGUAGCUGGUGCGUUUGUUAGGCCAAAAGGCAUUACUAGAAAUUCAAAGUGCCCAUGGUGUGUUUGGAAAGCAGUCUUGGGAAUGUCUGCUACCUUGACCCUCAACUGAUGGUACCCAGCCCUGAGGUCUAACUUAGACAUAAAUUUGGUGCCAUGUAACUCAUCUAGCAAUUCAUCAAUAUUGGGGAUGGGAAAUCUAUCCUUGACAGUCACCUCAUUGAGCUUCCUGUAGUCUAUACAUAAUCUCCAAGUGCCAUCUUUUUUUUUAACUAACAAGACAGGGGAAGCAAAAGGACUAGUACUGUGUUUAACAAUUCCAUUCGUAAGCAUUUCUGCAACCUGCUUCUCAAUUUCUGCUUUAUGGGAGUGGGGAUACCUGUAAGGCUUGAGUUUAAAUGGUUCUGCCCCUGGUUUGAGAGGGAUUUGGUGAUCCAGCUCCCUUUCUGGAGGUAGUCCCGUUGGAGUAGCAAAGAUCUGUGGAAACUGCUGUAAGACCUGUUCCACCAACUCUGGGAUGUCCUUCUGAAGGUCUUUGGUGGAGUUCGUCUGCAGGUGUGCACAACUCUUCUUUCGUUCUUGGAUGAAGGAUCUGAGGUCCCUUCCCCUCACAAGCUCCAUCGUAGGUUGAUUUAUGAACCCUUGGAGGUGGAGUAAUUGCCCUCGAUCACUGAGUGCUAUGCUGAGAGUGUGGAAGUCAAAGGUGAUUGGACUGAACUGACACAUCCAGUCAACCCCCAGGAUGAUAUCCCAACCUCCUAGUUCCAUUAUCUUCAUGUCAAACUGAAAUUUGUAGUCUUGUAUCCUCCAGGCUACCUUAGGACAGGCUGUCCCACUGGUGAUGUCUGUCCCAUUGGCUAAAGUCACAAUAAAAGGAUUCACAGAUUGAUAAGGUAAAUGCAGUAAGGUAACAAUUCUAUGGUUGAUGAAACUGUCAGAACUCCCGGUGUCCACUAGUAUUUUAAUUGGUAAGCCACCUAUACUGCCAAUUAGCAUGAUGGACUUCCUCUGAAUGGCACCAGACAAGGCAUUCAGUGAUACUUCAGCCGUCUCUCCAACUCUGCCAGUAAACUCAUCCUGUUCCCCCACUGCAUCCUCAAAAUCAUUCUCUUCUUCCUCUUCCUCUUCCACACUAACGCAGUUCAAACCUCUUGUCCUGCACUGGUGUCCCAACCCAAACUUCUCUCCACACCUGUAGCAUAGGUUGUUUUUGCGCCUGUACUGCAGCUCUUCUGCUGAAAGUCUUCCUACCUCCUUGUGUGCAACUUCGGUCCUUCUAGAGUUAGGAGUUAUCGCAGGAAGCCUGUAAGAAUUAGGUAGAUUCUGUCCACCAGGUUGCCCCUUGUACAUCCCAAACUUAGGCUCCAUGGCAAUCUUGCCAGAAUUUUUAGUCUGCUUACAUUGCACCUCCAGUGCAUACUCCUGCAACUCUGCUACUUCAAAUGCUUUGGUCAAUGUCUGUGGUCGAAACAUCUUUACCAUGGGCUUGAUCUCCUCUUUUAACCCACUGAUAAAGCUGGAAACAAAAUAGGACUCAUCUAAUCUGGGGUUCUUGGUUAACAUCAAAGUUUUUAAUUCUUCAAAUUUUUCCUCAUACUCCUCCACUGUCCCCACUUGUUGCAGCUUGUUAAAUUCUUCUACGAUGUCGAGCGAUCCCUUGCCAGAGAAACGCUCACAUAGCAACUCGCUAAACUCUUCCCAAUUUAGCCCAGGUAUAGCUAAUUUCACCCCUUGGAACCAAUUAUCGGCUUUGCCUUCUAAGAACAUCUCCACUAAAUCCACUUUCUGGCAAGCAGGUAUGUGAUAGUUCAAAAAAUAUUUAUGACAUUUCCUAAGCCAUUCCCUUGGAUUCCCUGCCAUAAACAUCGGCAAAUCUAAUCUAGGUAAAUUGGGGGUGAACAUCCUACCUCUGGACUCCUGCUGUUGGCCGGCCAUUUCAGCCUGAGUCGCCAGUCGGACAUGCGAGGGUGGUGUAGGUAGAAGAGGUUCGGAAGGUCCUCCUUCAUUCUCCUGGCCUCCCUUGUCCUUCAUCAUCACUUUCAUUAACGCGUUGAACUUUUGCUCCAACUUGCAGAACUUCUGGUCCAGAUUUCCCACCACCGACUCCAGUCUCGAGUUGCUCUUCUCCAUUUCCUCAUUGAGUCUCUGUUGUAGCUCAUUCUGCGCCGACGUGUGCAGAGCAACCAUGGAUUCGGCCAAUUCCUGGAGCUUACUCUCCUGUUUCUUCAGCUGAUCCUCCAAGGAUCGGUAUCUCGUGCCUUCCGCCAUGGCAGGUCUUCUUCCUCAGCAGCCAAGGAUCGGCUGCUCUGAUACCAACUGUCAGGCUCCGGCCUAGCACCGCCACAAUGGCUUCAAGAGUCACCGGAAAGUUAACAGAAUGAGAGGAAAGAGAGAAAGGUAGGUAGAGGGAGAGAGAGAGGGAAAUAACAGAAAGAGGGAAGAAUUGGAAUUUGUUGAUUUCAGACAAUAAGAUCCUAACUGCCUAUUACAAUCCUCCGGUGAGUUAUUUAUGCAAUUAAGCUUUAACCGUCUUUAUUCACUACUAAUUGCCACUUAGUUGAACGACACCGUUUCUGGCAUCUGUGCCCUGUGCCUACCAAACGCUACGUUUUGUGAACAAAACGACAAUAGCUAACUUCUGAGUUCCUGACAAGAUCCCGCUCAACCCUAUCCUAAAAGGGGCCCUUGUAGAGUUUUUGCAUAGAGAAGCGACAUCCUUGGAUCUCAAAUUGUUCCUUGAUGAAGAAUAUAUAUAUAUAUAUAUAUAUAUAUAUAUAUUACGAUUUGGAGCUCUGUAGACAAAGAAAUGACCAAAAUAUCUUUAACUGGUCAAUCCCUUGUGUCAAUUUUCGACAACAAAAAUGGCCAACCGUAUUUUGACUUUUUAACUAUGAAAACUCAUGAACUGGAUUUCAAGGUCUUCGCAUCAUUCUGAGGUGUAAGUGGGAGAGAUAGGAUGUCAUAAUUGGGGUUUUGAAUAAGACAAUCUUUUUCUUUUUCAUUUUUUCAUGUUAGCUGUAAAAGGGCUAAAAAAUUACCUCAAUCUGAUACUUGUAACUCAACAUAUAGCCAAAAUACCAACAUGUGUCAAAGCUAUUGAUAAUGAGCUCAUGACUGACCAAACACCUCCAAGGUUAACAAUCCAAGUUCAAGCAAUGAUCAAAUUGUUCUUGUUGAUCUUGGUCCCUAACUUUUGAUAUUUACAAAAAUAAUUGGAUGAUACUAAUAUCUCUUCAAGAAAUAUUUUCAGCUAUGAAGCAAAUCUAAUUCAAAGAUCAAGAGCAUUUGAAAGAGAUAAAGGAAGUUGAAAGCUGUCGGACGCUCGCAAAGACAACAUCGGACGUCCAAUAACAAUGUAGCACUUUGGACGCAUGAAAAACUCAAUCACCGGACGUCUGAAAGAAUUAAGAUAUUCCCUCACACUCACUGUCUGUUUUCGAAAGCAAAGCAUUAGAGGUACCGGACGUCCGAAAGAAUUGAAGAAAAUUUUUCAAAUUCACCAUCUGCUUUUGGACGUAAGCAUCAGAGAUACCGGACGUCCAAAAGAAUUGAAAGAAAUUCUUCAAAUUCACUGCCUGCUGUCAGACGCAAGUGUCGAAAGUACCAGACGUCCGAUACUCCCAACGACUAGUUGAAUUUUCAGCUGCCUUCUAUCCGUUGGAAGUAUUAAUAGAGCACUUUUUGGUCUCAUAUAAAUAGUACAUAGUCAACAACUUAAGAAGAACUUUUGCACAUUGAGAAUACAAAAGAUCAAGAGUAGUUUUAGUGAGAAAGCACUCUACAAGAAAGAUUUGUACUCUUUGUUGUGUAAAAUUCAUGUAAACUUUUCUUGUGUGAGAAAAAUACUUCAAUAGUAUAGGUUUGUGAGAGUUAUCCUGAGUGAUAGUAAAACUUCCUAACUUGACCGAGUGUAAAUUGGGGUAUGGAGGAAGUGAUCCUUCUUUUGUACACAAAGAUUGGUUGUAUUUCAUCAAAUUGAAUAAAGUUGUUCUAUAAAGUGAUAUUCAAGCUCAAGAAGAGUUUGAAAGUCAAAUUAGUUUGCUAUUCUUCCCUUAUUAUUUACUAUCUUGUGAACCUUAAUUGCUUAUCUCCUUUACUCUCAAGCAAUCUUGCUCUCUUACUAAUUGUUUCAUUGAGUGGUCACCUAGAAAAUAGGGCAAAUUUCAUAUUGAACAAAAAAAACGUCUCAUAACCUAAUUAGAUUUUAAAUAACCCAAUUCACUCCCCUUUUAGGUUGUUUUCAAUUCUUACAACUGGUAUCAGAGUUUGAUUUUCUAGAGAUUAAGCUCAAGCGACUUAGGAGUAAAUAUGACAACCAACAAUAUCAUAUUUUUUGAAGGACAAUCUGUCACUAGACCACCAAUAUUCAAUGGGUCAAAUUAUGUGAGUUGGAAGGAAAUAAUGAUUAUCUUCUUGCAAUCGAUUGAUAUUAAUUUGUGGUUUAUUGUAAAUGAAGGUCCAUAUGAUGUCUCUACAAUUGAUAAAGUUACUCAUAGACCAAAACCAAAAACAAGAAUUGAACUGACUACUGAAGAUAGAGCUCACCUCACCUUAAAUGCUAAACCUAUAAAUGUGCUAUAUAGUGAUUUAGACUCAAAUGAAUCCAUCAGCGUCAAAGGUUGUAAGUCUGCUAAAGAGAUUUGGGAUAAAUUGAGAGAAAUUCAUAAAGUGAGUGAGAAUGUAAGAGAACAAAAGAAAUCUAUUUUAGUUACUAAAUAUGAAUCAUUUAAGAUGGAAUCUCAUGAAAAUAUUGACAAAAUGUAUUGUAAAUUCAAUGAUCUCAUUAAUGAUUUCGAAAUAUUGAAAAAGAAAUACUCCUUAUGAGAGAAAAACAGAAAAAUCUUGAAUGUUUUAUCUAAAGAUUGGAAAAAUAAGGUGACUGCUAUUGAAGAGACUAAAAAUUUAAAUACGAUGCCUAUUGAAUCACUUAUUAAUUCUCUAAUCUCUUAUGAGGUGAAACUUAAGACUAAAGUAUAAGAGGAAGAAGAUGCAAAGGUAAGAAGGAGCAUUACUCUAAAAGCAUCUCAAGAUGAAAAUGACUCGGCUUCCUUGGAUGGAGAAGAUGUAGAUAUUGACGACAUUGAUCUUGCUCUUAUCACAAGAAAUUUCAAGAGAAUUCUCAACAAAAGAAGAUUUAGAAAAGUAUGACCUAGCAAUUCAUUUCCAAAUCAAUUCAACAAUGCAAGAAACAAAGGAAUGCAAGAAGCCAAUAAAAAGCAAACUGACAAAUGCUAUGAAUGCGACUAACUUGGAUACUACAUGAGCGAGUGCCCAAUAAAGAAGAAAAAAGAAGGAAAAGUUGAACGAAAACCAAAAUUCGACAACUUUCAAAUUACAUUGAAUGAUUGCAACUCAGAUGGUGACAUUGAAGAGGAAGAGGAAUCUGCGCAAAUGACUUUCAUGGCCAUUGGUGAUGAUGAGGUAACUACUUGUAACUCUCAACUUGUUAGUGAUGAUGAAUCUGAUGAUGAUAUUAAAUCCUUCAUUGAGAGACUGCAUGCUAACUUGAAAGAAUCUUAUGCUAUAAACAAGGAGUUAAAACAAAAAAUUAACUUUCUGCUUCAAGAUAGUGCAAACCUAUUUCAACAAAAUAAAAAAUUGAAAACUGAAAUGACUACUUCAAAAAGGGUGAGACUGAUCUACUCAUUGAGCUUGAUAGAAAAAUAAAGGCUGCGUUUGGAUUGAGUGUUUUUACACCUGUUUUUGAAAAACUGUUUUUCACAUUCCAAAUGCUACAGUAAUGUGUAUUUCAAAAACAACUUCAAAAACACCAUAUCCAAACAAUAUAUCAAAAACAACUCCAAAUAUAUUUCAAUUAUGUAUAUUUAAUUUGUAUAUUUUAAUAAGUAUAUUUCAAUUUGUAUAUUUUAAUUAUGUAUUUUAAUAUGUAUAUUUCAAUUAUAUUUUAAUAUGUAUAUUUCAAUUAUGUAUAUUAUAUAUAUAUUAUAUUAAUAUAAAUAUAUUUAUUUCAAUUAUGUAUAAUAUUAUAUAUAUUAUAUCAAUUGAAAUAAAUAUUAUAUAUUUAUAUAAAUACAUUUAUUUAUAUAUAAAUUUAUAAAUAUAUUUAUUCAAUUUUGUUUUAUAAUAUAUAUUAAUAUAUGUUAAUAUGUAUAUUUCAAUUAUGUAUAUUAUACAUAAAUUAUAUUAAUAAUAAUGUAUAUUAUAUAUAUUAUACAUUUAUAUUAAUAUACAUAAUAUUAAUUUUACAUUUAUACAUAAUAUUAAUACAUGUAUACAUUUAUAUUAAUUAUAUUAAUACAUUUCUACAUAAUAUUAAUAUAUAUUUAUAAUUUAUUAAUUUAUACAUUUAUAUUAUAUACUAAUAUAUAUAUUAAUACAUUUAUACAUUUAUACAUUUAUAUUAAUAUACAUAAUAUUAAUUUUACAUUUAUACAUAAUAUCAAUACAUAUAUACAUUUAUAUUAAUUAUAUAAAUACAUUUCUACAUAAUAUUAAUAUAUAUUUAUAGUAUAAUAUAUUAAUUUAUACAUUUAUAAUAAUAUACACUUAUAAUUUAUAAUAUAUUUAUAAUAUUCAUUUAUAAUUUAUACAUUUAUAAUAAUAUACACUUAUACAUUUAUAAAUAUAUUUAUAUUAUGUAUUAUAUAUAAUAUAAUACAUUUAUAUAUUUUUAUAUGAAUAUAUAAAUAUAUUUAUUUAUAAAUAUCUAUAAAUGUAUUAUAAAUGCAUAAAUGCAUAUUUAUAUAAAAAUAUAAAAAUUAUAAUUUAUAAUUUAUUCAUUUAUAAUAAUAUACAUCUAUACAUUUGUAAAUAUAAAUAGAUUAUAAAUGCAUAAAUGUAUAUUUAUAUAAAAAUAUAAAAAUUAUAAUAUUCUAAAAAUACUCAAAAAUAUGUUUCAAAAAUACCUCUAAAAAUAAUUCAAAAAAAUCUACAGUAAAAGUUUUUCAUAUAGUUUUUGAAAAACAACCCCAAAAACAACUAAUCCAAACGGACUUGUUUUUCAGAUUCAAAAUGCUACAGUGGUGUUUUUGAAAAACAAACCCAAAAACAGCUAAUCCAAACGGAGUCAAAGUUUUGUGAAAUGUUCAAAAAGAAAUAAGGUGAUUUAAAAAAAAAUAAUGGACAAUCUAAAUGAGUUGCUCAAACAAAAAAAACAAAGCUGUUUUCAAGAAAUAGUUCAAAACCUCAUCUUGGCAUUCAUGAGAAAAAGUUAAAUUCUAGUGCAAAUGAAUUUAUUGUUUACAAGAGAAGACAAGUAAGAUUUGUUAAACAUGCCCAUACAAGUAACUUAUUGAUUAUGUAUAGUUUUUGUUGUCAAAUAGGUCACAUGAAAAGUAAUUACUAUGUGAGAAAGAACAUGAGAAAACGCAUGAAAUGUAUGUGGAUAGUUAGACAUGAUACUAACUCUCGAGUAUCCAAAAAUUAAAGGGAAACUGGUAAGACCAUGCGAUCGUAAGAUGAUGUAUGAAUAGGAAACUAAUAUAGAUGAUGUCCGUGGGAAUUAAACUGCCUAAACAUCCCUUUAUAUACAUACAUGUGGGAUGGCUAAAGCGGGCCGGGGGUCAUGUUUUAGACAAGGCUUCCACCCAGAAAAAAAUGGCUUGCUUUAUUUCAUAGAAUGCCUUAUGGUUCAGGAGCUUGAUUAGGCAAAGAAUGCAACCCCUGAAGCUUAAAGGCCUGAAUCUGGAGAAGCUUUUUACCAAUUACCAUAUGUUCUUUCACGAGAUUUUCAUAUUUACAGUGUAUUCCGUAUGAAGAGGCUUGCACGUAUUGCUGCUAGUGCAUCAAGGGCUUCAAAUUUCAACCAACCAUAUAGGCUAUCAAAGUUGCUCUCUGAUAAAUUGUUGAACCCGUUUCCAUUUUUUCUUUAGCCCCUUUUUCCUUUGGAAAGAAAGGGUGAGGCCACAGGCGGAAAGCAAGCGUUUUCUAUUUUAAGUAACGUCUUUCCUUCUUUUUUAUCUAUUUUGUGUUUCUUGUUCAGCUGCUAUGUAACAUGUGUCAUGCGUUGGUGACUUGUACACCUAUUGGCAAUCUGUAAAAAGGAAGUAAGGAGUUUGGAAAUUACAAUACCAAAGUAACAAAAUAACAAAAUAUUUGUUUUGCCCAAAAUUUGUUUUUUAACCAAUAAAAAUGCUCUAAACAAGAUUGCAGAACUCAUUAAUUUUACGAGUAAAUCUUAUAUAAACUGACAAUAUAUAUACACUAUCACAUUGGAUACAUGACACAUAAACUAAAUUUAAAUUCAGAUAAAUUGUCAUGUAUCCAAUAGGUAUGGUCAGUGUAUAAAAAAUUAAUCAUAAGUUUACAUAUACGAUACAAUACAAAUAAGAUUGUGGACUCUUAUUUGUGUAAUUGACAGUAUUAAAUAUAUUGAUAAAAAAUAUGAGAUCUUUCCUACUGACGGUGUAUAUACUAUCAGCGUUGGAUGAAUAACAAUCAUGUAAAAUUUGAAUUUGACAGAUUAAUCCAAAAAAUAUUACUAGAUUGUGGAACAGCAGUUUGCGUGGACUCGACGCAAUGCUUUUGUAGUUUAGCCCUUUCAAGUUUGGGCCUAGUUCAUCAUACCAAUCGAGCAGCAUCAGUGCAGCAAAGAAGUCCAGGAAAAGAUAUCCAAUUAUGAUAGUCUAGCCGCAUCUUCUAUGAAGAGUCCAAAAAAGCCCAGUCAAACUUUUAACGCGGUACCCAUGGGCCAUGGUAGAACAGGCGAAUAAAAAAAACAAAUGGGAAACGAGAAGCUGUACUGCUGUGAAUAAGAAGGACCGACUUGUACUGCUGUUUCUUUUCUGAUAAAAAAGAACUCUUACUGCUGGCCAAUGAUAGUGGGUUUAUUGGAAAAUGAUGAUUGUACCAUUAUCUGAUGAAAAGUUUAAGAUUUGGCCAUCCACCGAGCUUAAGAGCCGGAUUGGAUUGUUUUUUUUUUUUUUUGAAUUUUUUUUUUGUGAAAAAAAGUAUGAGAGAUAAAAAUGCGAUUCAAAAAUGAGAUCACGAAAAAUAUAAAUUUUUUUUAAAAAAUUAACUAUUCAAACAAUCAUAAAUCUCUCCUUUUUGGAUAAAUUACAUAAGUAUGUGAAAACUGAAUAUCGUCUUAUUUCUCAUAUUUUCUGGACCAUUUGAUAGUUAAUAUUAUGAAAGUGAUACACAGUUUUUUAUACAUAGAUAGGGAUGAUAUAGAUGAGUCCAUGAUUUUCAUCUAUGGUUUAAUAUUCAUACUAAUCGUCUGAGACAUUAUAAAUCAAUUUAUAAUAAAUCGAUAUUAAUGAGGAAAACAAAAGCAAGUUUUCACAAUCCUUUCGCCAAUGAUCUAUUGAAACGUGAGGUGUGUGUGUGUGUUUUUUUUUUGUUAAAAAAAAAAAAAAAUCUUCUCACUUCUACUCACAACCAAUCGUUUCUAAGAAUUUUGAUCAUUGGAUCAACUUCAACUAUCAACAUGAAACACUAUAGUGAAAUUCGCCCAUGUAGAAAAUUAUAAAAAAAAAAAAAAGAAAGAACGUGAUGAUUUCUUCAAUCUCCUCCCAGAUUCGUAGUUCAAUUUUUUAUUUUUGGAGCUGCAAAUAUGCAAUUCUUCACCUGUACUACUGUUUUAACGUCCAAGAGUACGCGUAGACAGAGAAAAGAAUAAUAUUAAUAUAUUUACAACGGAAGUCGUGUGCGAUUACGCGGCAUGACGAAUCAAAAUUUAAGGGUAUUUUAAAAUCCCGAUUCGGCUGACUUCUCCAAUUUAUCUGCGCAGAAUUUUUUAUUUAGCAAUUUUUUUUUCUUCUCCCUCGUCGUCUUUUUCUCAGUCGAUAAAUACCCCACCGACUUGGCAAUUUAAGGCACACCCGUCUAUCCCACGUAUCCUACUUCUAUCUCUCGGCAUUUGAUAAUUUUAAUUCAGUCAUCAGCAAUCAUGUCUCAGGUACUCCCUCUUCUUCUUCUUCUUCCUCUUCUUCUUUCCCUCCGAUUUCUUGUUUGGUAGCAUUCAUGAUUAGUUUUGUAAAUUCAGGUGGAAUCAGGUUGCGAAGCAUAAUCUCAUAGUUUAGCUAAAAGUUUCCCGUUAGUUGCCCUACCCGAAAUUUCUCGAAUUAGAACUGAUUUGGGUGCCCUAAGAUUUAAUCGGGGUAAUUUGCUUAGUUGAAAUUAGGCUAUUUUCCGUGUUCUUGAAAGAUAAUGUGGUUACUCAUCUGUUCUUGAAUAUUUAUGUAUGUAAAAGUGUCUUUUUUUUUUAAAAAUGUAAUACAACGCUUUUCACCGCUAUCAUUUGGUUCUACCGAAGCAUCGAGCAGGCAAUUUGCAGUAAAAUUAGAUGAUCAAUUUAUGUUUUGACUAGCAAGUUCAGUAACUUUGUGUUUAUUCUUCAGUGAUUGGAUGCUUAAUUGCACUGGUCAAGAAAAAAAAGGGAAAUUAUUAUUUCCAAACACUCUAUCUGGAAGUUCCGGUUGAAUUAAGCAUUUCUUUUAGCUAAUUUAUUUGCUGAAAUCUGUAUUUUCCAGACGAUACUUUGGAUUCGACGAUACUGGGGAAGUAGCAUGGGAAUAUAAGCAAUGUUUUACUCGACUUGUAAUUCUGACCUUAAUAUUUCUCAUUUUCCAUGUUUGCAGACUGUUGUCCUCAAGGUUGGCAUGUCAUGCCAAGGCUGUGUUGGAGCUGUGAAUCGGGUGUUAAGCAAAAUGGAAGGUUUGUCAACUUGCCUAUUCUUCAUUUGAUUGUUUGUCAUUGACACCACUGACUUUGAAACUAUCAAUGAGGAAAAUCUGUGCCCCCUGACCAUGUUGAUUAUGCUCUUCGGAUAUGCAAUAUAGCCUUUUGCUGUAAUAUCUUGUCAGAAUUGUGCAAAAUCUGGUGGCCACCUAGAGAAAUUGGUUAGUUAAGUUGGUGCUUGAUUUUACAAAUCAUUUCUCAACUGUCAAAUAAGCCUGUCCCAGAACUUUCAUGUUCUUGUAAAGUAAUAGAAAUGAAGGUUUGUUGAUUGAUUAGUCGUUCAGUGCUUAUUUCAGACUGCAUGGUAGCCGGCUUAAUAAUUCCUGACUUUACACCAGGCCAUAGUUUCAAGUGCUAUUUUGAUCAAAAGAAACUAGUGAUAUUUGCAUUCAGCACUUGGCUGUUUCUUUGUUAAUUGCCAAAAAAAAAAAGAUAGAAGUUUGCCAAUAUAGCGCUGAGAAUUUAAAUACCAUUCAUAUAGCAAGUGAUUCGACUAUAUCAGACUCGUAAACCACUGCAGACUCUGCAGUAUUCUAUUAUUUUUAUCAACUGAUCACAUGUUGAACAUUGUUCUAUAUAUAAUAUUUGACUGUCUUUACUUCUUAUAAAGAUGGAGUGGUCUUGACAUGUUGAACAUUGGUUUACGUAUAAUAUUUGACUUGCGCUUCGUGGUAAUACUUUCAGGCGUGGAAUCAUUUGACAUUGAUCUUAAGGAGCAGAAAGUGACAGUAAAGGGUAAUGUACAGCCUGAAGCAGUCCUUCAGACUGUUUCAAAGACCGGGAAGAAGACUUCUUUCUGGGAAGAAGGAGCAUCAGCUGCACCUGAAUCGAAGCCCGCAGAAACUGUUGCAGCUGCAUAAUUUGGGUCACUAGUGGCCAGAAAGCUGUUGCUUUCACUUAUUAUGUUACUCUUAAGGAGCUAAAAUGUAUGUUACGGGUCAACAAUAAUAAACAUAUACAAUACCUCGGUGUGUGGUGUUCAGUAUUCGCUAAUUAACUGUAAGCUCCGUUUAUCUUUUAUUUGAGAUGUUCGAAUAUUGUUCCAUGCAACAGAAACUAGAAAGUGUUUUGGCUGUCUAAAUUUAUCAAGGUGCCGAUAUUCAUGUUGUAACUAAGUUUUUCAUUUGAUUUUGUGGUAUACUUCCAACAUCAGUAAAUCAGGAACCAAGGGAUACGAAGAGUGUCAAGGUCAUGCGAAACCUUGAAUUUCAUGUAGUGGUUCUUGCUGGUUAGAUUGGCUAAAAAAAAAUGUUGUCGCUCGCUAUUCCCAACCAUAAAAAGCCAUGCAGGACCUUGAUAUUUGGAUUGGUUUUUUCCUCAGCCACCAUUAGUUGUUUCAAUUUUGAGUCACUUGAUUAUGGGGCCGUAGGUAGGAUAUAAUCGAGGACUUGGCUGGUAGUCUUCAAAAAAUCAAGAACCCAUAUGGAAGAUAUUUGCUGCCCAUCAUUUUUAUCUAUGGAUUUGGUCAUCUGCUCCUUUAUCAUUAAAUCCAUCCGUCAGUAUCAUCCUAGGCCAUGCAUAACCUUGUGCGUUAGCUAUAAUAUCAAUGAAUUAACAUGCAUGGGGUGAUAGUGCUUUGCAAAUGCAUUUCUGAUUCAUUUAUUUAUAUAUCUCCAAAAAAAAAAAAAAAGGUUUCGGAAGCGUAGCCAUUGCAAACUUAAAAGUGGAAAAUCGGAAAACGGAAAUAAAUUUGCCGCCUUGAGCUUGGCAUCCAUAGACGCGGCUAACUAACGUAAAAGUCGUACAAAGUCAAAAGAAGCCUUUUGUUUUGGCAAGAAAAAGGCAAGCUUCCAGCCUUGUAUGGCUUUUUUUUUUCUGUUCUUUUCUUUAAUUUGAUUACUUUUUCUCCACGCUUUCACGUACGUGCAGUUUUCAGCUACCAUAAGAGAUACUAAUAUGUCUAAUUGCUUGCAACAAUCCACUGUUUAGAGAAGAAAACAGAAAAAGGAAGUUGUAAGGAAAAGAAAGAUGCCCAUUAAUUCCAUAACAGAACGCCACAAUAGCCAUCAUGCAGUCCUUUGCUUCCCUCUUGCAGAAUUGCGCCAAGCACAAGUCCAUUUUCAGCGGCAAAGCAGUUCAUGCUCAGCUAAUCAGGUCCGGAUUUAUCCCAGAUGUUUAUACAAACAAUCAUUUGCUCUCGAUGUACCUACAGUUGGGGCAGAUGGGCUAUGCUCAAACCGUGUUCGACAUAAUGCCAAAACGAAACGUUAUCACUUGGACGACGUUGAUUUGCUCGUUUUCUCAGAUGGGUCUCUCGGAAAAAGCCUUAAGUUGCCUGAGGUCAAUGGUUCUUGAAGGGUUUUUGCCGAACGAGCAUACUUAUGUUGGUGCUAUAUCUGCUUGUGUUAAUACAAGGGCUGUUAGUAUUGGGAAGGAAAUUCACGGGAGGAUAUAUAGGACUCAGGAUAGUUUGAAUAGCUUUGUCAGUAAUUCUUUGGUUAAUUUUUACGGCAAAUGUGGGUUGUUGAAGUCGGCUAGGCUUGCAUUUGAUGCUAUCUUGGAGCCUAAUUUGGUUGCCUGGGCUUCACUCAUAUCUUCUUGUUUUCAGUGUGGACAGAACGAGGAAGGUUUGAAAUUGUUCUUAAGGUCUUUGAGGGUGGGAAUGACUGUUAACGAGUUCACUUGUUCGAGUGUUCUGGGUGCUUGUACUGUGUUGGAGAAUUUGGAACUUGGGAAGCAAAUCCACUGCCUAAUCGUUAAGUGUUGUAUUCUAAUGGAUCAGUUUGUUAUUACUGGGUUGGUAAAUUUUUAUGCCAAGUGUGGCCAAUUGGAAGCUGCACAUCAGGCUUUUCUAGAGGCUAAUGAGCCACAUUUGUCAGCUUGGACUGCGUUAAUAGGGGGCUGUGUACAACAGGGAAAGGGGAGAGAUGCUAUUUUACUUUUUCAUAGGAUGCUUUCUUCUGGUAUGAAACCAAGUGAGAAAACUUUUGCAUCUGUCUUUGGAGCCAUUGAUGAUGGAAUGGAUGUACGAGUUGGUAAACAACUUCAUUCUUUGAUCAUAAAAUUAGGAUUUGAUUCAUUUACCGUAGUCUGCAAUACAACUUUGGCUUUUUACAUUAAAAGAGGUCUUGUUGAGGAGGCUCUGAAGACUUUUUAUGAGAUGGAUGAAUAUGAUAUUGUCACUUGGAAUGCCAUGAUUACUGGCUUUGUAGGCUCUGGUCAUUAUGAAGGAGCAAUUCAGUUUCUGCGUGACAUGCUUUUUGAGGGUUUUGACCCUAACCUUUAUACCUAUUCUAGCCUCUUGAGCAUUUGUGGGGAUUUACCAGCAGUCCAGUGGGGAAAGCAAAUUCAUUCUCGCAUUCUAAAACCUGGAUUUGAUUCAAAUGUGGUUGUUGGAAGUGCCUUGAUUGAUAUGUAUGCCAAGUGUGGACAUAUGGAUGCUGCUAGGAAAGUUUUUGAUACAUUUCCUUCAAGGAACUUGAUUUCUUGGAAUACCAUGCUGGUUGGCUAUGCUCAAAAUGGGUUUGCAAAGGAAGCUUUGGAGAUCUAUGAUAUGAUGCAAAUGAAUGGGGUUAAACCCAAUGACAUCACAUUUAUUGGGGUGUUGUCUGCCUGUGGUCAUGUAGGCCUUUUACAGGAAGGAUUGUGCCACUUUAACUCCAUGAUUGGAGACUACAGGAUCACUCCAAAGGCAGAUCAUCUGGCCUGUAUGGUCAGUCUAUUUGCCCGCCAUGGACAAACACAAGAAGCUUUUGAUUUCAUAAGGCGUUUUCCAGGAGAGGCAGAUAAAGUUGUCUGGUGCUGUCUUUUGUCAGGCUGCAAAACUAAUAAAGAUGUGGUUUUGGGGAAAUAUGCAGCUGAAAGGGUAUUAAGUAUUGAUCCUGAUGAUACUUCAGUGCAUAUCAUGUUAUCUAAUAUUUAUGCAGGCUUAAGGAUGUGGAAUGAAUUGGCUGAGACUAGAAAAUUGAUGAAGGAGAAGACACUGAAGAAGGACACUGGGUUCAGCUGGACAGAGUUGAAGAACAGGAUAGUUCUGUUCUCUGCAAGUCAAAAUCCACAUCUUGAGCAAAACAGUCUCCAUGAAGUUUUGAGUGGAUUGGCUGCCCAGUUGGUUGAUGAGAAAUAUGUUCCUGAAAUCAUGUUCUCGUUGCAAUGUGGUGAGUAAAUAUCUUGAUUUCAUCUGGUGAUAAACCUUACAAUUUUAUUUGGUGGCCCAUGAAGAAGAAGGUUGUGGAUCAAUAAUUGACCCUUUAGGAAAUUAAAUAUCCAUGGGUAAACUUACUUUCACAUCAUCUUGCAAGGAUUUCUUAAUUUCAGAACUUGGGAAGUAGAUUGAGGGGAUGGUGAACUCUGAAGGUCCUUGGAUGAGAGGUGAAUGAACUUCAAGGCUCGCUCUUUUAAAUUAUGUGGAUAGUCAGCAAUGCAUCCAAUUCGUGGGCCGGCUCCUGUUGACCAUUUCAAACUUACUUGGUGCCCUAGUUGAUUUGAAUUUGCUUCUCUGUUGGACUCAAUCCUCUGCAGUAAUUCUUUGUGAGUAACUUCUGGGCACUGUCAAUUAUUGGAUAGAGUCCUUAUCAAGUUGCUUGUUGGUGGUUUAAUGCUAUAUGUAGAAGAUUCGAAAGGCAGGUCUUCCUCAAUAACAUUGGCUAUCUGAAGUUUAUCGUCUUCAUACUCCUUUGCAUGGGGAAGUACCUGCCUGAUGUAGGAGGAGGUCAGACAUGCAACCAUUACUGCACAUUUUAUUAGUCAAAUAGACUCUAUAUAAAAGGAGUAAUACAGGCAGCAAUGGAAGGUAAUGGCUUAAGCUCAUUGAUAUUGUGGUACAAAUUCUUUGACAGCAAGGUUAGCUCAUGGCAAAAUGCAUCGUUAGUGAAUCAGCAGAGCUGAUAUGGCAUUCUCAUUAACAGAAUUGGGUGAAAAGAUGCUCUAGCUUUUAUACCUGAACCUCUUCAAGAUUGACUCCUUUGUCUUUGAGAAAGGCCAGGAAGAUGCCAAGAUUCUCAUUUGUUGGUCGGUAAUGUCCACUGUGUGUUGAGAUUGACUGAAAUAGAGAUAAAGUAAAGUUUUUGUUUCAUUUCUUAGUGUGUCACACAGAUAAAUGAAAUUCAUAUUCUGUCAUGUUAAAUGAUCCUUUUUUCACGUCUAAACGAGGUAGAUACACACUGUAUACUUGGAAAGCUUAUUUAUAAUAAACUAUCAGUUUACAUUUUUUUCCAUUGCUUGUUUUUCAUUUAAGUCUCUCAAAUUAGUCUGAUGAAACGAUUUGUUUUGGCAACCUUGUGAUGCAUAUAUAAUUGAACAAGUGUUCAACCAUGAAGACUAGCCACUGUAGUGUUACUUAAGUUGUACAUUUCUUAGAAUUUAUUCUUGAAAUUCCUUGUUUCAUCAUGAUUUUCAGACAUGAAUUUUGUGACCGAAGAGCUAACUAGAAGUAUACACAUGCAAUGCAUGCAUGCUGGACCAUACUUAAGACCACCAAACCGUCUCAAAUGAGUUUUACUAUAAAAGCUUUCAACGAAGACCCAGGUUCAUAUCUUUCAUUCACUCAGAUGUGAAAAAUAAUCCUUGACCUCAAAGGGAAAACAAAUGCACGACUCUGUUCCAAUUGCACUCUUCUGACAUGAGACGUGAAUGGACCAUCUUCACUAAUAUAUUGGAUUUUUGGUUUGUGAGGAUGUGUGUGUUUCCCCAUUAUCUAGAAUAAAUAUUAGUACUGCACCUUUACUUUUCCAUGUUCUGCUACAAGUCUCCCUGCAGCUAGAGUGGCACCUCCGGCUAGAAAGCUGGAAUGGUGGAAAUACCCCUUCUUUUUCUUGGCACAGAGAAGCUGAAGUUAGUUGCUUGAUACCAAAGUUAAUGAAGCAUCAACCUAAGAAAUUGUCGACCUUGUUCUAUUAUGAUCUCACCUCAGCAGCAUACAACCUUUUGGAGGCACUCAUCACAAAUAUCCAUUUUGCACGUUUUAAUCCACUAGUUGUGUUGAGAAGAUCUCCAGUUUGUUUGUGUAGAAAAGUACCUUCAGCUAUUACAUAUUCAUAAUGCAACCUCUCUUGCUUGUUUUGGUAACAAGGAAAGAAAAUGAAAAGAGAAACACGUAAAUGUGUCAAAUGUGACAAGUUAAGAGACUAUUUAAAACCUUUAAACCUUGUUUAGCCCUUUUAAUUUCUUUCUUUUUUAUAUUGGCUGGCAGGAGAUAUGGGCAAAAGCAUUCUAGUGGUGUUCUUUUACUCUCGAAUAGUUAAUUGUAAGCCUUAUAAAAAUUGAGAAACUCGAAAUUCAAUAAGCAUUGUACUAACAUCACUCUAUCAUAUUUCCUCUUGAUUACUUUGCAUGUAUUUGUUAACUAUAGCUGAGACAGGGUAAUUAAACUGGAGGAACAUGUUACAGCGAAUAUAUGCACGAGUCUCUGAAGAUAUUGUCAGAAAGGCACCUAUAUAUGCUUUUUUGAUGUGUGAUUUUCCUACCAGGUGUUGAAAAUAACUGAAUGUGUUCCAUAAUUGAUUUCAUAUAUAAUCUAAUCUGAUACUGAGUUCAUACAGGUCCGAGAUAUUUGAUGCAUUGUUGCCGAAGCUUUGAUCUGGGGCAUUCAUCAAGGUCAAGUUUUGUACCAUCUCCAAUGUCCAACCUGCAAAAAGGUAACUAUAAGCUAUCCCACUCAGUGGAAGUAUAAUUAUCUGGGUGCAGCCAUUUCCAAACGAGAUCAAACUAUCAAAACUUGACAGUUCACGACUCCUCUAUUAUAAGUAUUUAGGUGCUUCCACAGUUUCCCUCAUUUGUGGUUUUGAUUAGUGAAGCCUUAUAAGCAACUUAAUUUACCUAAACGAUUACAAUAAUCAGUUUAACAGUUCCAUCUAAGGUACGACUAUUAGAUUAGUCUGAUCUGUUGACUUCUUUAUAAAUUGCUUGGAUGGUAGUGGAAGUCCGAAUUUCAUACAAAUGCCACAUAAGAGGCAAGAAAAGUUUAUUCCAUCUCUGGGUAGGAAGGUUGAGAAGGAAAAUACAAAUCAUAUCGCAUUUAACUGUGAUUUAAGGGCACACUUAGCCAGAGGUGCAUGUGAUGGAGGAUAGAUAUAUUGAUGUGGAAUAAUAUAGGGAAACAUAAUAAGUUGUCCAGUAAAUCUAGUAAGCAGUAGCGGUAAGCAUUAAUGUUAAUUCUCAUUGGCAAGCAAAGACUAAAGUUUAAUGUUAUGACUUACCAAUAGAAAAAUGGCUGUCCUGUAUCUCUUCCAAACCAUUCAUCGUAGUAAAUAUUCAAGUUAUGACCGUACCUAUGCCUUGGAUCAACCUGUGAUCAUGAGGAUGAAAUGAUUAUGACAGUUAACAAUGAUAAUCAUGUAAUACAUGCUGAUGAUGAUAAUCAAAUGCCUGAAUAGAUGAAAAGACUAGGGCUUAUUGAAAGUUUUGUGAUGUGUACUUACAGCUUCAAUCCAAUGUUGAAAAGCUAACUUUCUGGCCUUAUCAUCCUGAGAUAAGCCCUUUCCAACCUACAGAAAAAUAAGAUUCAGCGAAGAACUUCAGAGUUCAGAAGUACAAGGUCGGAGCAGGGGGGGCCUUAAACUUCAAUUUGUACAUCCUAAUGCUUGCCUUUGAAGCAAUUAAGCUGAUCCUAUUCCACCGAGAGGCAGCUGUUUCAGGUUUUGAGAAAUUGAAGAAGGAUAUGGUGCUAUGGUUGAGGCGAGCAUAAUCUAUGGCAUGCCACCUUCAAACAAUACCAUAGCAGGGACAAUUAAGGUAUCAUUGUUAAAUGGUUCUUGAUGACCAUGAACUACAUUUAUGGGUGAAGAACAGAGUGUCAAUGACCUACCAGAGCUCUUCUGCAACAACAGCUGAAUCUGCUAAUUUACGGCGGGUGCGAUAACUCCUAUACACCUUUUGCAGCUUCACUGCUGCUGUUCUGGAUUCGGAAUCAUCAUUUUCUUUAAGUGAUUCUGAGGUUGACAACGAUUGGCCAUUGAGCUCCAUCCGGUGUUGAAAACAGGAGAAAAAUGGACAUCUAUUAUUAUGUUAUAUAGUACUAGCAUUUGGUUGCAGUAAGUUGGUGGUGUUGUUUAAUGAGUAGUUUGACAAAUCAAAGACUUGAAAGGACAGCUAGUAACUUGGUGAACUGUUAAGCAAAGAUGGACGAAGAAAGGACAGUGAGAAUGGAGAAUUAGAGCGAGCGUCUUUUAGGCUUUAGCCUCUGCAAAGACAGUCCACUCUCAAAUUGCAGGGCUUCAUUUCUGAUUUAAGGUUUCUUGUUUCCCUUAGUUUCAAUCUACUGCCGAGUGCUUCUGCAGAAGUACUGGAUGCCUGUUCUACGGUUAUACGCUCUCAACAUUCAAUUAGUGUUAUCAAUCAAGCCAGCAAGUGAUCUCAUUUUACUGCAUAAUCCAGUGGGACCCCAUUCAAGCCACCCGAGUAACAUCAAACACUUUCCCUUUUCUGAUUACUGAGAUUUGGUGGUCCAAUUCCUUAAUGUAGUUUAGGUCAAAAGUUCAACUUCCAACUCCAAGCCUCCAACUAGCUCUUACUCUCCAUAGCCCACCUCAAACCAUUAUACGUUGACGUUUUAUGCGUUUUAUUCUUUAUGGUGCCUGUCUCACCAUACUAUAAAAGGACAAUAUGUCUUUUAAUGCAAGGACCUAAGCGUCGUAAUUGUAGAGAUUAGCUUGCACAAGUGGUGUUGGGAGAAUCAUGAUGGCAUGCUUAAUCAAUUAUUUGGAAUUUGGCAUGUGAGGCCCCAUCUCACAUUGGUGGCAAGAAAGGUUUAUUUUAUAAGCUUCGAUCCAUAAUUAAUUAAAUAAUUUGAGUUAAUAACUUCGCUGAAAAGUUUUUGGGCCACUCUUUAAAUCCAAGCAUUAUAUUUGGUACAAAAUCUAUGAUUUAUGUGUCAUGUUAGGUGAAAGUCACUUCUAAAAUUGAUGCGAGCCACCUUUGGGAUCCACGCAACAAUUUGAAAUAUAAUCAGAUGCUUCUAAAACCCAUAUGGACUUUGGAUUAUGGCCAAAUGCCUCUAAAAGCUCAUAUAAGCCACUUCUGGAGGGGAUCUAUUGAUAGUUUAAUCAAAAUAUAGGAAGGGUAAAAUGUGAUUAACCCUUUGGAUUAUAACCCGACGCAAAAGAAAGGAUUAUAAGCUUGGAUGGGAAGAAAGGAAGACAAGAGGCUACAUGUUUUGGCUUAUAAAUUAGUAAGUAAUAUAAGUUAGAUCAUUUUCAAUCCCCAAUUUUGCUUUCGAAUUGUUGGUCUCUAUCCCUUGAUCCGGACAAGGCACGAACUCAAUCAGAUUCGCUACUUACUCACAAUAACUGAUAAAUUUGGUCAACUAACGAGUUAGUCUUUACGGUCUACUGGGAAAAAAAAAUUUCAUGGUAAAAUGUACUCGAACAAACGAUUACGAUAAUGAUACUAAACAACAUCAGGCAACGCAAGGAAAAAAAAGAAAAAAGAAAAAAAGAAGGAUAUCUGAUUUACUGCGCAAAUGAGCAGGUAUACCGCCAGUACCAGCAAGCACAAAAAGAAAUGUAUCGUGAUAUUGCCAUUUAUUUUGGCUUCUUGAAUUUGCAUGAUCGGAGUUUUGCUAAAUCCAGCAUAAGAACUUGGUGCAAGUGUUUUAAAUUUUUCUCUGAAUUCACUGAGAUGUACAACCACCAAGAAGGAAAAUGAAGAAUGACAAUGGAGCUGAGACAAGCAACCGAGGGAGUUCCGAUGGUCAACAUUGAGAUUUGAGCCUGCCUUCAAUCGUUCAGGUACUUCUACCUAUUUGAUAACCCUGUUGCCUGGAAAGAUGACUAAGGAUAAAUGAGGUCCAAUUAUAUGUGAUGGGUAUUUGAACCCUCAUCUUGCAAAUGGAAGGGACCGGUAGGAUGAAGAUAAUACAUAGUUUUCCUUCUAGCUAUCAUUACUACUACAAAACGGGCUUUUGGUGAAAAUGUUUGUAAACGAAAGCCUUCUGUUCAAGAUUUUCAUGAUUAUUUUCCGGUUAAAACCUCUAGGAAAAGUCUAUCAGAAAUUAGAAUAUCGUUUUCUAAGUUUUCCUGAUGAAUAUGUAAUGUAUAGAUACGAUGGUACUGGUGUUUCUGGAGUCCUCUCCACCAAGUCGCGCAUUAUCUGGAAGAACAGCUUGGCUACUCAGUGCUGAAAGUGUGCUUGCACGGAUACUUCUUUCUCUUCCCGUUGCGCAGUGGUUUGAACAGUGAUCUUUAGAUUCGGUGGAGUUGAGAACAUUGAAUCCUGACUGUUCUUCUGGAGUUGUCAGAAACUAAGUCUAGCGAUUGCGUGUAAACACGCAUUCACAGGUGCAUAGUUACGGCGCGUAGCUAGUAAGAUUUUAAUUUAGAUUUGGUUUGAGGAUUGUUAUACCUUGUGUGUGAAGACUUCUAGAUUUAAAAAAUGCAAGUGUUUUAAAGGCAUGAUCUGUAAAGAAUAACUACGCCUAUAGAAAAAGUUUUCGUCUUUCUGAUGUCUGCAAAAGAGGUGAUCACACUUGAUAGUUGGUAAUCAAUGUUUGUAUACAUGUAUGCAUAUCAGUACACAUAAACCUAUGCAAUAAUUGAAAAACUUUCAUCCUUGAAGUAUUAAAACACAGACAAUUCAGUAAUAUUCUACAGAAGCAUCAUAAUGAUCAGAACUGGAGACCAAAUCCUUGUUAUUGGUUGGCUGGGGAACGUGAGGCGGUUCUGUACGUCUCAACAGAGCCCAAUUCACCCCGUCAAAGAAUGGAUGGUUCUUGAUUGCUGUAGCCCCCAUUGUGGAUCCCAUUCUCUUUGUGGGGUUCUUGAUCAAGAGCUUAGCCAUCAAAUCCAUGGCCGAGCUGGACACAACAGGCUCCUUGGGGAAUUCAAGGGAUCGAGCCACAAUGUUGGACAGGGUAAACUCAUUAUCAAGCCCCUUAAAUGGUGUCAAACCAUAAAUUAACUCAAAGAUGAAUAUCCCCAGUGUCCACCAAUCCACUGCACUGCCAUGCCCUUCCCCUGAUACAACUUCCGGGGCUAAGUAUUCAUGGGUGCCCACAAAAGACAUCGAUCGAGCCUCGAUUGGCUCUGCCACUAUCUCGAGGGCCCUCCUCUGAUGACCUUGCCGCCUCUUUCUCCUCCGCUUAUUCUGGAAACAUGAAACUGCUGGCACCAUACAUCUGGGUAGAAUGCAAUAUGACUUGGAAGAUAGGUUUGCCUCGACUGUACAAAUCUUCGAUUCACCGAUGUUCAGUGUUAAUGGGGAGCUUUCAGGAACAAGUUGAGCCGUUGGUUUCGAAUUGUCACAUUUUAGGGAGAGAUCAAAAUCUGUCAACAUUAUGUGACCAUCUGUUCUUACGAGAAUGUUUUCGGGCUUCAGAUCACGGUAGAUUAUCCCUUUCAUGUGUAGAUACUCUAAAGCAGCCACCACCUCUGAUGCGUAGAACCUAAAUAGUAUUAACAAGCAAAUUAGUGAAAAUGUCAACCAUUUGUAGCUAACUGAGUUUUGUUGAGUACUAAACAGAGUUAAUGAUUAUUUUUAAGACAAGAAUUUGGCUGUAUUAGUUUACAAAGUCUGCAAACACGAUUCCCUUUACAAAAAGAAACAAAAGUACACAAACAAAAUGAUUUUUACAAGAAAAAAAAGAGAGAGAGAAAGUCCAACAUAUGAAUUAUGACGCAGGCCGCGACUGAAAAUGGGAAGACAAGAGACUGAUAAAAAGUCUAACCAACUCAUAGUUUGUGAGCCCACCAUGUCAUAAAUUAUUAGGCAAUCGUACAUUCAUUUCUUAAUGACAAAUAAAUGGAGUAUGAACACAAAAUUUAAAAACAAUUAUAAUAAUGUUAUUUUCAGAGCACAAAUGCCUGAAUGUUAUUUUUCAUCCACCUCCAACCUUUAAGAACUAGAACAACGAUUAAAAGACUUAUGCAGCAGGCUUAUUAGUCUGAGUUUUUGGAUUUAAGAGUGUUUGUGGAGAGUGAAACUGAUUAAGUUCCAAAAAAGUUUUAGAAAAAUAAAAUAUUGAGAUACGUAUGAAAUGACAAACAUGAAAAUGACAUAAUGUGGUGGAAGAUUUGCAGCCAUGCAAGAGAAGCAAUACUAACCGGACGGCAGCCUCAUCAAAACGUCUCCCUGGCUGCCGUUGUCGCAGAACGUGAAGGUCACCGCCGGGACAAAACUCGGUCAACAAACAAGACCACCUAGCGGAAUCCAACGUGGUAUAGAGAGUAGGCAGAAACGGAUGGUCCAACAUUUCCAAUAUUUCCCUUUCAAUCCUUGCCCUACCCUCUUUACUCCGCUGUGCCAGCUCUUCUUUAUCCAUCACUUUAGCUGCAAACAUGCAACCUCUGGCACCCUUGAGCUCCACAAGAUAGACAGUGCCAAUGUCCCCACUCCCAAGUUUCUUGAUGAAAGACAAGUCUUGGAGGGUGAUCAUGUUUACAUCUGAGUGAAUACUACGUAUGGCAAUCCACCCGGGAUCCCCGUUUGCCGUUGCAUGAGGCUUAUUGAAGGAUGAGGUGUGCCCUGAUGCUACCCAGUUGAAAGCUUCGGAUGCUGAGCUUGUACUGAUCUUUGCUUCAAUACCAACGGGAGGGGCAGUGCUUGUGGUUGUCGUCGAGGUCGUGGAGUCGAAACUCGGCGUGUCGCGGUCGUUUUCGGCAUUUUCUGCCGAUUUUCGUGUCUUUUGAGGAGGCGGAGAGGCUGUUUCAAUCAUCACUGAAGACGGAGCAGUUUCCUGAAAGGGUGAGACUCGAGAAGCUGAGUGUUAUGAUGCUGAGAGGAGAAAUGGAAGCAUUAUUUGAAGGUUAGGGGGUUGAAAAGAACAAAAGAAUGUGAAUUUGGGCCGGCAAUUUGUGGUGUGGUCAAUCUGCCAGCUGUGUUCUGGGCCCAUUGUGGCCCAAAAGGCGUAUUAAUUCUGUCUUCCGGUAGAUUGUGAAGCAAUUUUUAGUUAUUUUAAUGUAUUUAAUCUAUGUACAUCUAUACAUCUAUACGUAUAUAUAUAUAUAUACACACACGCAUCUAUACACACACACACACACACACACAUCUAGGCUAUCUAGCAGCUAUCCCACUAUGUCUUUUGUUAAUUUGGAAUUGACAGGAAUAUUCAUGUUUACUGCGCUUCAUACGGUGGUUAUGUAAAGUCUGCAGCUACUUAUAUUAAUCAAGAACGUUGAAUGGGCAAUUUGAUGGGGAAUAUUCGAUUCUCUUAGGCCACAGGAAGGCCGAUCAGAUGACUUGGAAGCUAUUGUAGACGUUGAUUGAGAAGUUUUUCUUUUGCAGGGCUCAGGGGUUUGACAAGUUCUGAAAGCUUUUUCCUAUUCUAAUGCAUCCCUCUUGUUUGAUAUCAUGGAUUUUCUGUUCUUGUUUUUGGGUACAGGUUCAAGGACAGGCGGUUGCUAUCCUUAAUAUAACGUGAAAGUAGCAGCCGGGAAUGAAUGAAUGACACAAUGAAUUUGAUCAUCAAGUAUGCAUGCAUGUUGAACUAGCUCCUUGCAUUUAUAUAAUUGAAGACUGUUUCUUUUUGGAGUAAACUAAUUUGCAGAUAUCAAUAAUGUAUCUAUGAUUUUGUCUUCCAGUGUAUGUAACUUUUGAUGCUUAAUUAAGAGAGACAGCCUGCGUGCAUUUUGUUAGCCCAUGCUUGAUGGUGUAGAAAAUUGUGUUUCAAGAAUGGCUUAUGGCAUCAAAGACUUGAUCCCCUCAUUUCUCCUCCUACUUGAUGCAUAUUCAUUCAUCUCUCCCAGCUACAAUUAACCUAUCAUGCCAUGAAAGCUACUUUUCAUCUUUUGACUGGUACAUGUGACAGUUACUUUUCAUUUUGCACCAAUAACGAAUAUGGUUAAAUGGUUAAUUAUCCACAAAACUAUGUACGUAUUCAUGGUUUCAAAUGUUAUUUUAUAAAGAGGGUUUACCUGUUAUGUAGACAUAAGGUUCACAGACUUAAACUUUUACCCUCUUUUCUUAAUCAAGCUGAGCUUCUCGAGUUAAAAUGUAUAUAUAUAUAUGAACCCGAGAAAGAAAAAUAACAAACUUCACCACAAUUUCUCAUAGUUCCAACUUUUUAAGACCAUCAGACUUCGAGAAGAAACCAAACUUAUCCUUUGCGAGGAUGUUAAACAACUUUUCUUACCCAAGAAAGGAAAGAAUGCUGGACAGGGUCAAAGCAAACUGUUGAUAAACUAGAAUGAAUGAAUGGGUUCAUGUUGGAAUUUGUCGCACCCUGUAGCCAAGUACUAGAUGCUAGUUCACCUGACAAAAUAUACAGACGCCAUUUUUUUCUGAUCAUUUCCUUGUAGUCUUGAGUUCAAAUGUUUGUGUGUGUUGUGACUUAGUUUUGUUUAUUUAUCUUUCUAGAAACGCUACUGUUUUGGCAGUGCAAGCAAAGAGAGGCAGUAGUGUUGUCCAGUGCCAAGUGGAGAAUGCUGCGCAGAAACCGCAAUUCUCAGCUUGCAUGUCUCUUUCAAUUCUGUGGCAGCAACCAUAAAGCAUAGAAUGUUUAAUUGCUUGUCGCCUAUAUUUUUUUUUAAUUCACGUAGUAGUCUUGCUGUAAACUUGUCAUUGCAAGCGAAAACGACUAGUUAUUUCAUAUGGAUAAGGAAAAUCAUGGAGUGAUUAAAAUUCGUUGGUGAGCAUUUGGCAAUAAUCUUGGUGUUUCCCCUCCCCUUUCCCUCUAUCCCACAUCGAUUGUCAUUGAAAGCGAAAACGACUAGUUAUUUCAUAUUCCUUCGUCCCACUUUUGAUAGUCUUGUUUUUUUUCUUUUCUUCCAUUCUAAAUUAUACUAGUCAACUUUUUAAUUAAAAAAUAUAGAUUAUACAAGUCAACUUUUUAAUUGAAAAAUAUAAUUAACUUUUAACCUCUCUAAAAUACCCUUAUCUAAUGUACUUUAUUAUCGAUGAACAUAAAUCUACUUUAUUGUAAUUGGUUUAAUAAAAGUUUUGAAUGAUGCAAUUUGUCACCAAUAUUGCCGUUGUAAUUAAUGUAGAAAUAUAAUGAUUAGUCGUAUUCCUAAUAUUAAUGUAAGGAUAUUUUAAGGGGAAAAAAAAUCAAGACUAUCAAAAAUAGAAUGGAGGGAAUAAUUGCAAGCAAAUUUAUGUUAUAUAUAAAUUUAUAUUGUAACCGACAUAUUACAAUAAUUUAUAUUAUAUAUGAUAGAAUCAGACACUUCCAAUAAUUAGCACUUUCUGCAGGAGUUAGUGAUACAAGCCGACAAGUAAAAUAAUUUCAGCUUUGAACCAAACUCCAAGAAAUGUGGAAAAGAAUUGCGACACUAGUAUAACGGGACCACCCAAUACGUAAUAAUCAUGGAUGGAAGGAUGUUGGCAUCCACCUGCAAGGGAUAUGCAUACGCCUCAUCUGUACAGGCGAGCGAGAAGCAAAUGAAGCUUUCCAGGAUGUCUUGUCAGCUACAUGCCUGCCUCCAACUCUCAUACUAUAUAGGUCUUCUGGGAAGGUUUUGGCCCGCGUUUUCGUCUUGGACUGGAACUGAUUGCGCAUGAAAGGGCAUUUAUAAGCUCAGAAUCCUCUUCGGUAAUGAGUAUCUUGGCUGCACCCGGGUUGGCAAGCAGCAGUUUUGCCACAAGAUAUCCUGCAAUUGACCAGGUCUGGAAGAGGCGCGACUGUUUGCCGAUGAAUCUUCCCCUUUUGGUGUCAUAAUAUUCAGGCCACUUGUCUCGUGACAGGCGCUUCUCCGCAACCUCAACAGCUUUUGCAGCAAUUUCCGGUCUAUUCAUUUUAAUGCAUGCAACAGUUAGCUGCAAAAGAUCAAGCACAUUAUUUAUCUCAUUUGUAUCAUACAAACUAGCAAAAUUCAGCUAAGAAACUAUCAUGUUAUUCCAAUUACUUGACAAAGGAAUGUGAAAAAAAGAAAUGCACACAUGCAGCGUUGCAGAAACAGAUUUUAAACAGAGUGAUAGAGCUAUGGAUUAAACGCUAAAUAAAUGAACAUGGCAUGGUAAAUGCUUUUGGCACAUAUGCUACAAAGGCAUUUCACAAUUAAAAAAAAAAAAAAAAGUGGAUUCCACUCAGAACAUUACCAACUCGAAUAAUGUACACACAUGCAUGCCAAAGCUUUAAGCAUGAGGUAUGUGCUGCGACAAAUAGAGAAAAGCAAAAUAGCAGAAUUGGACAUUGUAUAUAAAAGAAAAAUUAAAAGCCGAUGAUAAUCUUCAUUUACAUCCAUUGUGAUUGAGAACUUCUCAUUUCCUUAAAAGGAGCAUACGAGAAAUUUUCCUCCACGCAUGCAGAUCCUAGGUGAGAAAAAUGGAAUUCCUAUCAUGUUCUCCGGUACAAAUGCAAUCGAAAAUUAGUUGAGUUGACAAAGAGGAUCAGCCAUUUAGAUCUGGUCAGUUAUAAGCUACAGAAAAGCCACAACCCCAGGAAAGAUCCAAUACAGCACUGUUAUUACAUGCAUGAAACCAAAAUAACAACAUCCACAGUGAUUCCGUACUAAAUUGAACAACUGGUACCUGCCAGAGCAAAGUUGGCCAAGAACCUCCAUUAUGAUAAGACCAAGGCCUGCAUCAGAAACAAGGGAAAAUAUAUUCAGUCGAAAGCCACACAAAUUGGUUAGAGUGACAAUGUCAGUCUAAUCAAAGUUCAACUUACGUGUUCUUUGGAUCACAGCCUGUAAUUAUCUGCCACUCUUGACCAUCAAGAGCAGGAUAACAUAUUUUAAACGGCAUGUCUGCCACCAAAUCUGCCCAUUUCGCUUCCAUGAGGUCUAGUAUAGCAUGAGAUUGGUCCGUGGUUGCAAGAUUGCUGACAAUAGACCAUAAAUUUCCCAGCGAAAAGAACCGGAAGUCCAUGUGAGCGGGUUGCAAGUUUCCAAUCAGAUAGCCUCCUUUAUUUGGCAUCCACCCAACAAGCCAUGGUGAAAUCUGAUCUGGGUAAAUGUUGAACUUGUUAACAGCAUCAUAAGAGUACUCUUCAGUCUUGUAGCGAUAAAUCUCAUUCAGCUUCUUCAUAUCAAUCCAGUAAUAUUCCCUAAUAUGGAAGGAUAAGGCAAUAAGACGAUUGUUUAAUGCCCGUAGAAGAUCAGCUGAUCCAUCCUCUGGAGCAAGCAUUUCACGAGCACAAAGUAAUGCCGAAUAGAAUAGUGCCUGCAACAGAAUUGGACAUCUCAAAGAAGUUACCAAUCCCCUCAUCAGAACAACAACCCCAAACUAGAGAACUCAUACCAGUAUACACAACCAGCUUACUUCAUAGAAGUUCGACUAUGGAAGAAAAACAAUACAUGCACAAUCAAAGUGCUCUCGAUAUAGUUCUCUUUUUUCUGUCUUCUUCAAGUCCAUAUUCCAGAAAUAGUUGCAUCUUAGAGAAUCUCAAUACAAAUUAAUAGGCUGUUGGGGAAGUGAGAGAUUUUUGAGAAUUACUCGAGCAUUUGCUGAAAGUAAAAAACUAUCUAAGGUUACUUUAUCAUACAUGAACUACCCUUCACUAAGAGAGAAAAAAUGAGCAUUGUCACUUCUAAAGUUUAAAAUAUCAAUAGCUAACGCACAGAAAUGGUAGCCAAAAUACUGCCACCAAGGAUGACAAAUCUACAAGAAGAUAGCCAAAAAGUCCAGAAGAGAAAUGAGAUUAUUCCUUUUUUUUUUUUUUCCGUGUGUGUGCUCCGAUUAAUUUCCAUUGACAUAAAGGAUUACAACUUUUACCAAGAAAAUGCUCUGUCGAUCAAGAUCAUCUGCUUACUUGAAUUUCUAAAGGAUGACCAUGAAUGCCCAUCCGACGAUCUAUCAUGCAAGAACCAUCAGUCACCAGCAGCGUUGGAAACAUAUCAAAACCAUCAGCAAGACAUAACCUCAAAAUCAUCUUGAUUCCCGUUUGGACAUCAAUCCUCUCUUGUACUGAGAGGUCUCCUGAGCAUUUUCCAUAUGCACGCAACAGAAUAAUCCACCAUAAUCCUGUAUUGAACGUCACAUUAUUCGAAGUCCAAUUAGUUUACACAUCAAGAUCCUUCUUAAUGACAUGCUUCAGCAGAUAUUACCAGAAUCAACAGGAGCAACACGACCAAUUGCAGCCUCUCCAAAGUCGGGAUCCAGUACUUCUUCAGUGGCAGUGUCAUCGCCAUCUAAAGGAACUGUGCGCACUUUGAAACUGGCAGGCAUCAAACCUUGGCCAGGACUAUGACAGUCCAUAGUUUUCUCCCAGCUCUGGACAAAAACAAUAAUAAUGAUGACAAUACUGGCGACAUAAUUUCCAAGUGUACUCCUCUUAAUUAGAUAAAUCUACUACUUCUCCUUGGACAGAACCCUGUAUACUCUAAAUUGGUGAACCAUCCAGUUUUACCAACCAUAGAGUUGGAUAAAUAAUAAUUGCAGUUAAAGAUUGAGCAAGGAGAGAAGAGAAGGCAAACCAAUACUGGGAGGCAAGCUUCAAGUAUAUAUGAAUAGAAAACUUUAGACAAACCAUAUGGUAUACAUUAGAGUGAGGACCAAGGCAGUGCGCAACAUAAUCAAUACAGUACUGUGAUGUCUUCUUCCUAAUAUCUUAAUUGUUUCCCAGAAUUUCAUCUCUGGGUCUCGUCUUUCGAUAAAUACAUAAUGAUAGCCCUUGUCUUAAAUCAUGUCCCCUAUUAUACUAUGUUAAUGAAGUUAAUCAUGCAGAUGACCAAGUUGAAUAAGGUUAAAAAUUCUGACAAAAUGGGUUACUUCUUCACUGCUUCAGAAGAGAAACUCAACUGAACAUAGCUAGUUUUCAUGCAAGAAGGAAAAGUGCAGAUUUUGUAAUUUUUGGAUGGGAAGGGGGGAGAGAUGUGUCAUAUGGAAACAGGACCUACAUUCCUGAAGUGGUAAUAGUUGAAGAAUAAUAAAAUAGUACUUCAUAAAUGUGAAUAAGAGGAGGUACAAAGAGAAGAACACACAUAUUGUGGACCAUCAUAAGUGAUGACUAACAAUCCUCAUAGGGGACUUGGCACUUCUAGCCCCCCUUAGGCAGAGCACAGUGAUUACCAUGCAUCAAACAACUCUAAAGAAUACUCAGUCAAUUGAGAAGUGUUAGGCAACCUUAAUUUUGGGGAAUUUGUGAUUAUUUGAAAAUUUAUCUGGGUCAGUAAAAAGCUGUACAUGUUCAGGCCAAGGUCCAUUGUUAAUUCUGCGUACUUGGUAGAGUAAUUUGAUUGAUGAAUACACCUAUUACUUUUAUUCCUGUACAAAAUGUCUUGGACCAUCAAUCUCACUCCCAACCACCACCCCAAGUUUAGCAGAAAUGCAAGACAUGUUCAAGAUCAUCUUUUCUCGCAAUUCCAGUUCUGAACAUGAAAAAAACAUGCCACGUUAAAUCCACUCAUGCAAUACAAAGUACAGAUUUGUAGAAUACACUUUGCAUCUCAAGAAACGCAACAAACAGUAUGCAACUUUAUAUGCAGAUUGGGCAGUGCAUCCUGCAAAUUUUUGCAUGACAGAUUGUAACCUAUUUCUUACAUAUCCUGGAAAUAGAAGAACCGUUAGGUCAGUUACGAUGACUAAGACACACAACACUAAUAUCGUGAGCUUUGUUCACAGAUGAUGAAAAGAAUAGUUUUGAAGCAAAAUAUUUUCAGACUACAACACUAAAGAGACUUUGUGGAAACAAAAGAGAAAAAUAAAACAUUAAGAUUUUGGUGGAUAGAUCAAAGCUAUCUCACUACAGAAAUCAAAAAAAGAAUCACCCACACAAAAGGUCAAACAAACAAGUACUGUUUAUCAAGCUACAAUUGUCAGACAACUAGACCAUCACCUUACCUGCAACUGAAGUGUGUGCAGGAUGAAAUUGCGGACAAUGUCAUACUCUCCCUUCAACAGGAAAGCAAUUCCAGAGGGAAUAAAAUCACGAAUAAAGACCUGAUCAUAAUUCAGAACACUGGAACUCGUAGGAUCCUUAGCAGCAAUUGUUCCAACAGGGCUACCACAAUAGUAGGCAACAGAUUCCUGCAAUAGUUCCCAAGCCUCAUUCUCAAUGAAGCUCGAUUUACCCUUGUUCAUGCCAUCUUGAAUUGUCUUAUCGGAUGGUGGGUUGCCAUUAGAGUGGUGCAAUUCCUUAUCAUGUUUUAACUCUUUGACUGCCCCAAGCUCAAGAAAAUUCCUUACAUUACCGUUUGUUGAAUUGAAAUCCUUAGCAUUAUCCACAAACCACGUCCCAUUUCCACUCUCGGCUGUUAGGCCACCGACAUUAUCGGCAGAUUGGCAUUUGCAAUGCGAAAGACCAAACUUAUCAGUCGCAGCAUAUCUAUGUGAGACCCCGUUGAUACACGGAAACUGAUGAAUCCUAAUGCCCCUACAUGAACUGCUUAAACAUUUAAGAGAUUUCAUUGACUUUAAGACCCUUUUCUUUCUGCAUCUUUCAAAGGAUCUACAAGGAAACGAUGAACCUGAUUUUCUAUAGCCAAUAUUAGAUCCCCAAAAUUGUGGACCAGCCCCAUCAUAUAGUUGCAGAGCUACUUCAGCAGUGGCCAUCAUGCAAUAGAAUGCAGUAGACAGCAGAUGCACUCAAAUUUAAGUAACAAUUGAAACCUGCAAUUGAGUAAAGUAUUGUCACGUGUACCUUAAUACUAGUAACAGAAAUCAAGCACAGAAUUGAGUAAACCUCGAAACUUUUUGCCCUUAUCAAUGCAAAUUCCAAGCUUUAAGCUUUUGCAUAUUUUAACGAAAACCCAGAAAAAUUCAAGCGCAAACAUGUUGAUAAGUGGAUCACACAAUAAUCUUCCAACGCAAAUUAAGAAAUAGAACAUUCAGAGUAAACAAAGUUUGAUGCCAUGAUUAUAUCUUCAUCGAACCACUAACGAAAGAUAAACGAUUAUUUGCAACAGGCAUGUUCCUCUGGAUUGAAGCUCAGGAACCCAAACGAUCAACAAACUUUUACUUAAUUCCACUAUAAUUAGGACAAACGUACCACUUUACCAAGAUCCUAGCAUUUUAACUCAAUAAAUUAAACCCAAGAAAGCGAAAAAAAAAAAAGCAAUAAAGAUAAUCCACUAUGAAGAACAAACAUACCCAGAUGAAUCAGAAGUGCGAAAACCCGUUAUCUGGCAGAAUUUUACCUAAUGUAUAUUGGAAUAAUUAGACUGAUAAAUGGGUUGUCGAGAUUGCUAAUACAGGAGGAAAGGAACGGGAGACUUUUGAAGAAUGCAAAGAAGCAGAGAUGGAUUUUACCAGUAAUGGUAUGCGUGCGUGGAGGAGUCUAUAUAAGUGAAUGUUUAUCUUGUGCUUGGAAAACUGCCGCGAUGGUACGAUUCCUACAAAUUACGAUGGCUGUCGGGAAAUUUGCCAAUUUGGUCUCUCACGUUGAGGGAAAAAAAAAAGUUAGCCCCUCAUAUUUAAAAUUAACUAAAAUAGUCCCUCAUAUAUAAGAAAUUGUGCCUUUUUUGUCUCGAAACUCAUUUUUACUCUGUUUGUUAGCUAAAAUGUGCAUGCCUCUCUCACAUGUUUAUAAUUUCAAGGACAAAAAUAAAAAUAUACUUCGUUUCUCUCUAAAAAAAAUAAUUUUAAUGGCUAAAAAUAGGUAUAAAGAGAAAAAAAAUGGUUAUGCACUUUUUUUUUAAAUGAAACAAAGUAUGUUUUCCUUUUUUUCCCCUUAAAAUAAUGAGCAGGUGAGGAAGGCACUCACUUUUAGGCUUGAGAAUUGGGCGAAAAUGAACUUUGGAACCCAGUCAUCGCAUUUUUUUAUGUCUGAAUUAGGGGUGUUUCGCAAAUCGAGCUGCUGGCGAGCCGAUCGCGAGCGGUUCGAAUACGAGCUUGACUCGAGCUCGUCAAUAUCGAGUUCGAGCUAAUUAAGUCGAUGUCGAACUCGAGUUCGAAUUCAAAAACAUUAAACUCGUUGGCUCGCGAGCUCAAUUAUAUAUAUAUAUAUUUUAUUUUUUAUUUUAAUAGUAAAAUUACAUAUAUAUCCCUAAUGUUUUAUUAUUUAUUAAAAAUUAUUAUUUUAUUUAUUUUUAAAAAUAAAUAAUUAUUUUUAUUUUUUUAAAAUAAAAUAAUAAUAAUUAUUUUUUUAUUUUUUAAGCUCGACUCGAAUUUGACUCGAACUCGGCUCGAUUAGUCAAAACUCGACUCGAGCUCGGCUCGUUUGCAUCCCUAGUCUGAAUGACUAUUUUGGUUAAUUUUGAACGUGAUGGACUAAAAUAAUUUUUUUAAAAAUAUGAGGGACCAAAAGGGAAAUUUUCCGACGCGCUGAAUUUUCGCCGUUUCAUGGAAGAUCAACUUUAUAGUACGGUUACAUUUUGUCCACACAUGACUGAUUUUUUUAAUGCUUUCUUCGUUUCUUUUGUUCGUUUAUCCGUAGCUUGCAGAGCACGAGCUUUUUCAAACUUUUUACGAUCGGUCAGGAUUGGUUGCCUAGGUACCUCUUCUUCUACAGUUUUACUCUCCCACCCCCAGACCCCACCAAAAACAAAAAAAAAAAAUAAUAAUAAUAAAUUGAUUUAAUUCUCUUGGAAUAAGAUAUUUAGCUAAAAUAUUUUCCCUAAUUUUGGCACCAAAAUUUUGUUUCAUUUUUUCCUAAUUAAUUCAUUUAUGUGACAUAUGACAAAUGAUGCACACAUAUAAUCGGGAUAACAUGUUAUUUUGUCCAAUAUAUAUCUGUGUAUAUCCAGGAUGAUGUGUUAUACUACUGUUGCUUUCCUUUAGAUAAAUACUACCAGCAUUAGCGGCCAGCUAACACUCGUUGAUAAAAACUGGCAGGAAGGGAAAAUACACUUGUAUCCUUUCAUUUUCGGGUGAAUUUUUGUAGUAUUAUUAUAGCUUUAUUGCCAAGAUAAAAGGGAAAAAAAAGGAAAAAGACCUCUCCGUGCUAUUGAUUUGAUAAAAACUUGUGUAGUCUCGAUCUACGGUUUCACUUGUAGGCCGAAUGGCUUAAAUCGGCCACAUCAUCAACGUGAAAUAAAUAAUCAACUCCCUCUAGAGGAGUUGGCUAACACAUUAAUUGUGAAGUGAGAGGUCAAUAGUUUAAAUCUUGCCUCUCAUCAAUGUGCUUCAAUACGAGAUUUGUUCUAAAUCUAUAUGGAUGUGCAUGCACACGUCUGUUCUGAUAGUAGUUCAGUCCCCAUCAAAUUCCUCCAACUUAGUUGGACCAUCCCAUAGAGUAGAUUCCCCUCUCCUUAGGAGUAUGAGUAGGUUAGGCUAGAUUAAAUGUGCCGUUACGUCAAAAAAAAAAAAAAUCAAUGCGAAAUAAAUGUUAAAAAUAUCAGAAACUCUUCCUUAGCUUAGCCGUGGUUAGCUUUCUCACCGAAUUUAGCCUUCCAAGUGGUACUAAUUCGUGCCCUAGAUUGUUCUUGCAUCCGUCCGUCAAUUCCUUUGACAUAUUGUACAAAUCUGAAUUUGGGUCGCAAAACAACUUUCCAGCGUAGGAUUUUCUUUGUUCUCUCUUCCCUAACUUCCCUCUCACUCUUCAUCCUCAAACCCUCUAAAAAAAGAGAGUGUGUUUGGAUAGAGUAUUAUUUAAAAUAAUUAUUAUAAUACUUUUUGUUAUGUGAUGUAUUUGAAAUAUAAUUAAAAAUAUAAAAAGGUGAAUUGAAAAUAUAUGUUUGUCGCAAUGAUAGGAUUUCUAUAACGUAAUCUAGCAUAAUUUAGAAGAGAGGGAGGGGACUCGAUAUGAAUAGAAACUCCGAGUGAAUUAUGUGAACUAUCUAAUUCACUCUGGAACAAAAGCUGCAAAUGUCAUGAAUUUUGACACGUAACUACGCAGGUUGAAUGGUGGUACAGUGCAGAGACACGAACGCUCUGAACGGAACUUUUCAAGGAAGUACUAACCACAUUUUUUUUUCCCUCGAAUCAAUUGCAAGAAUUUUGUCCUCAAUUUGAUAGUGAAAAUGUCUUGAAUUUGUUAAUAAGGCGUGAUUUAUCCAAAUUUAUAUGAGUGUGUAAUAUACCUGUCUAAUUUGAUUAUGACUUUGUUUCUGAUUUUUCAAACGGCGAGUUAAAUUACUUUCAAAAUAACUUAAAAUAAGAAUAGAGUAGACGUGCCGGAUUGACAAAAAAAAAAAAAAGGACUAAUUCUAGAGAAGUGGCGAUGGCGAGUUGACAUUAAUGGUUCUGUUUGGAUUGUAAGUUAUUUGGGAUUAUUUGAGAUAUUUUUACUGUAGCACUUUUUGUGAUGUGAUGUAUGUGAGAUAAAAAGAUAUUGGGAAGAUAAAAAGGUGUAUUGAAAAUUGUAAAGAUGAUGUAAGCAAAUAAAAUUGGGAAAAUAUGAAGCAAUCCAAACAAACUCAAUUAUUUUGCUCUGACAUGUUGCAAUGGCGUUGAGAGUCGCCCUACCGCGUUGCGUUUCGAGACCGCUUGCCAUUCAUAGUUACUAAACAUACAUAUGAUGCUCCCAACAUCGCUGUUUCUUACUCCAAAAUGAGAAAAAAGUUUGGACGUGAUGAGUUAUCUUAAUCUUCAUGAAUCAAGACAGACCUCGAGUGCGAGAUGGUAGCUUAUUUAUGGAGUUUACGACACAGGAUUAAAAGAGUGACUCAACUUUAAUCCAAUUUGGAUUGGUUUAAAAUUAAGUAUACUUCUUCGUAUCUCUAAGCUAUCAAUAGUAAGUAUACUUCUUCUUCUUUAAGUAUGCUUCUUUGAUUAAAUCUUCAUCCCCUGACAUUAGACGGCUAAUGAAUGAAGGCUCUUGCAUCUCUUGAACCCAAAAAAAAAAAAAAAAAAACUGUACUUUGAAACAAGCAUUUCCCUGCCAAAAUUACAUCUUGAACUUGGAACAUGAUCGCCUAAAUUGUCAUGCGUUUAAUAUUUUGUGUAAGAGUUGACCGAUAAUUACAUUUUUCCUAUGCCUCCAAUUGAAUUUGUUCGGAUAACCCUUUUUUGUAAAAAUAAAAAUAAAAAUUUGUUAUAUUAUAAAUAUAUUUUUCGCUCAACUCUUUCAUCUUACACAAAUCACGUUAUAAAAAUGUUGUUUGAUUUUUUUUUUCUGCGAAUAAUCUUAUAUCCAAACACACGUUAAUACCAAAACAACCCAUCAUAUGAUUUUCUAAGUUGGAACUUUAAAGCAUGCAUUGUUUACAUAACACUCACUUACUAAUAUAGUAAGAAAUUAGGAUGAUCUCUAAUUUUAGAGUACAAAAAGCUAAAAGAUAUUUCCCGACUCUUUCUUUCUUUUUUUUUUUUUAAAAGUUUUUGAACUAAGAUGUUUGAUUUUUAUUCUAUAUUUCACGAAAUUUAUUUUUAGAUUUUGAUAUACUAGCUUUCAUUUAAUUUUUUUGAUGGUACUAAGAUGUUCAAAUUGACUUCUGAAUUGUUGUCAUAAGCAUCCCUUUACCAUUCUAACAUCAUAAAGUUCCAUUUACUACCAUUUUUAAAACAAACUUUUUCUCUCUAAACUUGAAGUUAAUCCACAAAAAGCAUGUAAUUGAUACAAAAAUUAAUAAUCACCAUGCUUUGAAAAUUAUUAGCCACGUGAUUUAUAAAAAUCCAAACUAGACGUGAACAAAUUAAGCAUCAUCUCUACAUGUGGAAGGGUUGGAAGGUUGUUGUUCGGUUAUACCAAAGGUUUAGGGUACGUUGAUCUGAUCUCCUCCUAUAAUUGGAACCCGGACUAGGGCGCAUUGAUCUCUUCCAACAGGUCUCAACAUUGCCCCAGAAGGGCUCUCUCUACCUCUACGCACAAGCUUUUCAUUCUGAUGCUUGCAUUGCAUCAAAGCUUCUUCUUCGGUUAGUCUUGUCAGAACAUUUAAAGAAUUCGAUUAGCUGUUUCUCUGUUUUCAUCAGUAAUAACAACAUUCGAGUGAUUUGAACUACGAAAUAUGAUCGUAGCUUAAUGUUCUGACUAUUUCAGGUGAUGGGUUCCGAUGGUCUUUGCUGUUUGAGGUAUAUUUGCUUUAUCCAGACACAAGUUUUCGAAGCUUGAUUUGUUUUUUGCAAGUUAAUUCAAGUUUGUAUUGUGGGCAUUUAAGUUUGAUGGAAACUGAGGGUUUGUUUAGUUGAUUUUACCGUUUCCUUUUAAUAUGCUUGUGUUGUGUGUGGGAGCUAUUACUGGAAGUUUACAGCACUCCAGUUCGAGAAAUCCGUGAAGGUUAUGACUUGACUUUCUUAACUUUUAGUUUUCUUUGUUAAUUGUUGCUGCUCUUUUAUUAUAUUUGUUGAGUUCUUUGUGAAUCUUGACCAGUUUUGUGGGUUGAUACUCAGAAUUUGGCGAUAUGCAUAUUUACACGUGUAUGUAUUGCAAAUUGCAAUGUUUUAUUGUCUACCAUUUAGGCAUAUGUGGGUCUGUAGGUAUGUACGUAAUUGUGGUCAUGUUGGUAUCAACUAUUUGCUUUUUGCUCCAUGAUUCCAUUAUGAAUGGGGGUUUCUAUACGAAAUUCACUCUAUCAAGGACAUGGGCUUGUUUUCCUUGUUUAUAUAUUUGUUUUUUUUUUUUUCAAUUAGCGAUCAAAUGAGCUUUUUGCCCCUCUCUUUUCUCCCAUGUUCCUUCAGAAAUGUUUUCAUCAAUGUCCUUGACAAUGUUGUGUUGUCUGAUUCAUAUAGUCGUUACAUCACCCAUAUGUAGAAAUGCCAUCUUUAGAGAUGUGAUUUAGCAUGGGUAGCUUCAUUGUGCAAAAAUUUUUGGCCUAACAUUUCUGGGACAGUUUUCCAUAUUAGCAUACAAAUGUUAUUUCAUAAAGUUCUGAUUGUAAGUUGAAUCAAGUAGUUUAUGACUUUUCGGUUUAUAAUGCUCACUCAAAUUGUCAUAACAUAUAAAUAGUUUCACUGUCCUCUUCUGCACAUGUUGUAGGUGAAGAGAGUUCAAUCUCAUAUCCAAAACUGAUGUUAAUCUCUGUUACUUGGAAUGGAUAGUUCAACUGUCCGUGACCUCAUUUUACCACUAUUUAUCACGUUUAGCAUCUGACAAAUCCAGACCCUUCUAAUAGAUACAUGAUUUUACUUUUCAGUUUUUCUUUUGCCAUUAAUUGUUGGCAUCUGCAUUUUGACUUGCUUUUUAACAUCCACAGAUUGUUUACUUUAUGAUAGCUAUAACUUCUGACCCCUAUUAUCUAUUGAGAAAUGCUGGUAUCCCUAGUAGGGAACCUUGCUGUUUCAUCCUUUGGCUGUAUUUUCUCAUCUGAAGACUUUAUUUGUGACCUUAACUUUGAAAAGAUUCAUGCGAUGAAUAUAUCUUGCUCAGGUGCACCCAUAUCUGUGGUCAUUAUAGAUUUUAUUAAAAGGACAAUUACUGGACUUAAAAUUGUCUUUUAGUUACUUCAGUUAUGCAUGUGUGUUUGUCUUUCAGUGUGUAUUAUCUCAUUUUUUGUUGCUGGGAGAGAUCAUAUUUCCUGAAUUGCAGAAAAGUAUAAUGAGGUUUGAAAAUGCCAUUAUUAUAAGUGGUGAACAAAUAAAAGUACUGUUCCUCAGAAGUUCAUCUGUUGAAUUGCUUUUGAUGCUAUGAUGAGGACUGUGCGAUUAAGUAUUUAUUAAAUAUUAUAGCUAUUAUACUCAAUAGAACAAGGAAUAUUUGCUUUUGGUAGCAUUGACAGUCUAAUUAUGUUAUUUCUGAUAUUAGCUCCGAAAAUUCACAUAUUGACAUGCUGACAACUCAGGUUAUAAUUACAUCCCUUUUGUGAUGUUUCUAGUUUCAUUGUUCAUAUUUUUCAGAUGAAGACCUUCUCCAUAUCUAGGUUUCAACUAUAGAUGCAGGGGAAUUGAUGACAUGCAUAAACCUGGUAAAGGGGCACAAUCAACACCCACAAAAUGCUGUUAGAUGACUGCUCUUGCCAGAGACUACCUGUGCCUAAAAGGUGGGCAUCCCAAUUGGAAACCCCCGAAAAAACAAAGGUACAGACUAGAGAAUGGAAAAUAGUGCUUCCUCUUAUUAAAUAUUUCACUUAUUCAUUGUCAAAGAAAAUAUUUGACAAAUCUGCGUGCUUCUUUCAGUGUCAAUCUUUUUCUACUACUGUGUGGCACUUCAUCACUCAAUGUACUAGGUCUAGUUAGGAAAGGAAUUAUAAUCAGAUAUUAACCACAGGAAUGUCUACAUAUAGCUAUUAAAAUUCCUUAGUCUGGCCUUCUCUGAUUUGUUUGCUUAGUGUCUAACGCUGAACUUCUAAUGCUACUUUUUGUAUAAAAAUUGCAUGUCUUUUUCACAUUGCCCCUUGUAGUGGAAAAGAGAAAAGGUUCCUAGUAAGACAGGACAGACGUCAUAACAGUAGCAUGUUUGACCAUCCUCUGUCCGGGAAAUGAAAUGAUGAGGACCAAAUUGUAACUGUGAUAGUAAAAAAUGCAAAAGGUACAUUAACUAGAUACAAAUAAGCAUUUAGUUGUAAGGCUCACUCUUUGAAUUUCUGUUCAAAGUCCACUUUUUGACUUUGAAAUACAAACUUUUGAGUUUAUAUGUUCAUAGGCCUUGGACUAUUUUGAAUUUAGCAAGUAUUUAUAUUUUGUGUGCAUGAAUCUGUCGACAAGUUCUUGGCUCGUUUUCCUCGUCAGGUAGCUCUACUUAAAGUUUAACUUUAGUAUGCAGUCAAUUUGUCUAAUCCUGCAUACAGUUGGUAGCGCAAAGUCAUUUAAGUUCUCAGUGAUUCAGGAAGCAAAAGAUGUUUAAACAUUCUGAUAAUGUUCCCCUAGUUGUUAUUCCCCACUUGCAGUACUUAUAAUUGUCUUCCUUCUAUGAUAGAGGGAAUGCUAGCUGCUUGAUUUAUAGCAUUAAAGAACUCAAAUACUUUUUUUAAGGAGGCUGUUCCUAAGCUGCUUGUUGGCAUGAUCUUUUCAAUGUCAAUGCAGGAUCUGGGUGAAAAAACUGGAUGGAGAAGUCUUUUUCUGGGAGUAAAUAACAAUGCCUCAAAGUUAUGCGCCUUACUUAAGGUAUGGAGAGUUUUUUAUAAGUCAAAACUUGAGUUCUUACGUUAUUUGUUUCCAUUGUGUUAAUAUUCUAAAUGCGUGAUUAAUUUAGUUCUUGGAUUCCUUGAGUGUGUCUGUUGACCUUUAUUACAUGCUAAAAGGAGAUUGACUAGUGCACAGUAUGUUGGGAUGAAAAAUGCAGUUUAAAUUGGGAUCAUGCUCGAAAAUUUUCUCCUAGCGCUCAUAGUAGGAGGAUGACUAUCAUAAAAAGACAAAAGAUUACAGCCUUCUGAAGCAAGCCAUAGUUUGUUUAUUUAAGUGCUUAAUAGCAUGCAAGAUUUUAUGGGAUUCAUGUUGUAAGUCAUUUCCUUGGUUCUUGAAGCAGGUUCUUGAGAGGUCUGAAGAUGUAUGUUCAGAGUAGCAGCAUAUCUGAGGCCAGAUUGCGAUCAUGGUAUCAUGCUCCUUUGAAGAAGAAUUACAGAGUCGUAAGAUUCUCAAAGUCCUGUAUAAGGUUCUGCCUGGCUAAUUGAGUAUUAUUUCAUUUGACUGUAGACCUUUUUUUCCUUUUUUUUUUUUAUUGGGAUAGAUCAUAUUUCAUGGUUGACUUUCUCUUUUGGUAGGUAUUCUCGUAUUGGUUAACCUUAUACAUAUAAAAUUUGACGUUGCAUGCCAGCCAAGUCCAUGGCGGGGUUUGCUCAAAAGGUUAGCAUGUUCGGUUAUUUUGACUGAAGAAUGUAAUUGGAAAUGGUGAGCAAAAGGUAAGGCAUUCAUGAUCUAAAUUUAACUAUUGACUGUUGUUCCUCUUAAGAAGUGGGAUCUAUAUGUAUAUUGCAGUAGCAAUACCUGCCGAAGCAAUGGUAAAUGUUCAUAUUUCACUUUCUUUGUUUGAAAUUACUUUCGCAUUUUUACUGGUCUUUUUGCUAAAGUUUAAUCUGGAGAGCAUGCAAGUUCUUAAGAAUUGUCUUUUAUGUAGAUAAUUUUUUUUUUUUUGGCAUACAAAUUAUUCAAAAUGUAAAUAUGGCAUUGGUUGAGAAGAACGCAAAGUAUGUUGUUUGGAGUAGUGAAAAUAAAUCUAAGGGGGACAAUAAAUACAAGCCUGUCUUCUCUUGGAUGUCCCUUUAGAUUUCGUAACAUUCGGAUAGACCUGUCUUCUCUUACAAUUCACUUAUUUGAUGUUCUAAAUAAAACGGAAUGGCAAGCCGACGAGCUUAGUAACUCCACUGUGUUGCAUUCUUUUAACCUGGCCAAUAACCGUUAAAAGUUUACCAUUUUCAUAUUGUACUCGCAUGCUAUUUGUUCGGAGUGUUUUUGGAAAAAAAUAUAUUAUAGGGAUUUGAUGUAUGUGAAGUAAAAAGAUAAUUGGAAAUUUUGUAGCUUCACCUUUCUUUGGCCCUCUACGCUCACAUUUGUGAAGUGUAUUAGUGGUAGGAAUUGAUUUGAUCUAUGAAGUUGGAUGAAUGGGAUGAACUGUAGACCAGAAUUCAACUUGAUUUGUUGUGUUUUUGUAAGUUGUUGUUGUUAUAAUAUUUACAUUUGUUAUUUUGGUGGCUAUAUAUAUUGUGUUAAUGCAUACACUAUUCUGUGCAUUAUGAUUUGUGAAUGGCAGUCAGUGGUAGAACUUCCUCACACACACACACACACACAUAUUUUUGGGGUAGGUUUACUUCUGGCAAAUUAAUUUAAUGUUGCAUAAUAAAAGUAGCUCACUCCUAUAUGUGGCAUAUCUAAUUGAAAAGAACUAACGGGUUAUGGAUCACUUAGGUUUUACGCAUAUUAAAUCCUAUUUGGAUUAUAUGAUAGCCUAUUUAGAUUAUAUUAUAUGUUUAAAAAUUAUCUUUAAUUUUAAUAUAACUAAUCUUAUCUUAAUAAUAUUGCUUUUACAACCGACUAAUCUUAUCUUGAUGAUUCUAUUUUCUGUCAAAUUAUUACAUACAGAACUAUAGUAAAACCUUUUUUAAACACAAUUAUUAAAAUCUUACAUAUCCCAAAUUAUUUCCUAUUCCAAAUUACUUCUUUUCAUCAUCAUAUUAUUGAUUAGUAUUCAAAUUGUUCAUCAUUUCUUUCCUGAAUUUUGAAUUAACUUAAUUAAAAAGAGAAGUAACUAAUUGUUGGAAAAAGAGAAUCAUCGAUAGAUUUACGAAUAUUGUUGGAAAUUGAAUAUUUAUAGAUGAAGAAAAAUGAAUUACUGGAUUUUUUUCUACUUAAUUAAAUAUGAAUGUAUAGUUUUAAAUUUAUGAUCAUUAUAACAAUUUAAAUUAUCUAAAAAAAUAUUUGUAAAAAAGAAUAUCUGCCAAGUUUUUUAUAUGGGGUACAUGAUUUGAUAUAUACUAUCAUAUUAUAGAGAAAAUAUGUAAACAAAUUUUUGGAAAUUAGUAAAUAGUUGAACGUUUAAAAUACAUUAAUUUUUUAAAGUUAAUAUAGAUGAAUGUGCAGGAUUGUUGUUAAUUUUUGUAUUUAAAUUAUUUAUAUUUAUAUAAAUUCGCAAUAAAUAAGAAAAAAGACCCUUGCUAAUGCACGGGUAAAAUUUUUAGUUAGGUCAUGAUUUAGAAUACUGUUAAGUGGAGUUCGAGUUCUAAUUUUUUUUAAAAGAAUAAAUAAACAAUUCCAAGAGGUAUUCGAAUGAUGAAAGUAAGUGUAUACGACAUAGAUCGAAAAUAGUAGUAUAAACCUUUUCCAAAUUUUUCGUAAAUUACUUUUAUUUUUUUGCAAAAAAAUUUCCUUUCUUGUCUACGUUGGGUAUGCCUUUGCAUUUUGAUUAUUUUGUGUUUUAUUUCGUGAUCCUGAAUUCCCGGAUAAUGUUCCUCCCCUCCCCGGUGUAGAUUUUAAUUCAUUUCAAGAAAAGAACCAAUACCAUGAAUUUUCGCCAACUCUAUCCUUUUGGCUGAAAAAAUAUUUUAAAAUAUCCUAUUUAGGCGGAGAAACUGUUGCCGCCUUUUCCACUACUGACUCCGUAACCGAUUGCGCGCUCUCCCUCCCUCCCGCCCGCCCGCCCCGUCUCUCUCUCUCUCUCUCUCUCUCUCUCUCUCUGCUCUUUUUUUUUUUCGUUUUUCAUUUUUCAUUUUUAGAUUGGGCACGACCAAUUUAAAAAUAAAAUAAAAGAAAACAUCGGUUUCCCUUCCAUAAGAAGACUCUAAUCUCCUCAACCACUUAAAGGUUUAAUGCCAAAUAUCAUUUGGCGCGUCAGGACAAUUUGGUCAUUUUGUUAUAUAUAUAUGUAUAGGCCAAAGAAAGUAUUGAAUCCUAAAAUAUCAGCACUUGUUGGUCUUUUUGUUUCUCUAUGUAUGAAAGAAAAAGAAGAAGAGGGAGAAGCUGAAACGUCCACCGAUACCUGGGUCCAUCCGACCUUUUUCUGGGGCGUCAUCACUAAAAUCUUAACCGCCUGAUUUUUUAAUCCAACGGUCCACACUUGCCUGCUAGUAGUUACACUUCUCUUUCAGUGGUUUAUUUUGAUAAACCCUAGAAACUUUCACGCCCCAACUCUCCUCCUCCUCCGCCUCCGCCACAGCUCUACCCCUCACCCUGCAACUCAAUCUGAACAGAAGAGACAUCCGUUUUUUCCCCUAAAUAAGAGGAAAAAAUUAUCAAAAGUUCAGAUCUUUAGACUUCUGUAGAUCUUUAACAGAUGGCGGAUUGAAAAGAGUUUCACUUACUUUUCGACUCUCUUAUUUCCGGGUAAUAUUUACUGGUUUCUCUAAUUUAUAUUUGUUGGUGAGGAUAAAGUUUCUAUCUUUUGAGCCGUUUCUGUAGAUUAGAUGAUAUUAUAUCUGGGUUUUGUGUGGUUUUUGGCGGUGGUGAAGACCCUCAUGCAGUGAAGUAUCUUGGUGUUUGGGACGAGUUAGACCGGGUUUGUAACCGAGUCUUGGGGGUUCUUGACCGAGUUUGGCUGGGGAAGAGCAUUAAUUGAACGGGUUUACGGGUUCCCCCCCCACCCUUCUUAUACUACGGGGUAGCUUUGACGAUUGAUCUGGGUCGUAUGAGUCCGUGACUGAGUUGGGGCUGGGGUUGCGGACUGACCUUAGUUAGGAUGACUGGAUUUUGCGGAUUCUUGAUUUUAUGACUGCUAAAAGUUGUGUGGGCCUAUUCAGACUGAGUGAGGAGUGAGUGGGUCAAUGAUUAAUUUGAGUUUGGAAAACUGGAUUGGAGUGGAGAAAUUGCUUAGUUUUCAGUUCAAAGAUAAACCUUGGUUGGGUUUUGGUUUUGGAAUAUCAAGAUUUAGCAUGCGCCUAGACUGUAUCAAGAUUUGAACUUUGUGACACUCUGAAAUUCUAUCCUGGAUGUCAAGUUUAGUUGGGUGGGAUAGAAUACUGAGGCAGGUUUUUGGUCUUUGAAGUGCUCAGUGUUUUGGUUUUGGCCAAUUUUGAUCAAAGUAUCAUUGAAUUGGUACAGAGAGAAGAUUGAUUCAGUUUUGCCUUGUAAAAAUAACGUUCCGAUGCCUUCUGUGGGAAUGAGAAGGACUACCAGGGUUUUCGGAGCGAGGGUGUUGAGAUCAGGAAGGCGUCUAUGGACAGGGACAGGGACAGGAGAUGGGAAGUACACGAAGAGUGCCAAUGGGGACGAGUGGAUUGAGCUUCUUGAAAAUUCUGGGGAUGGUGGAGGUGGUGCCAAUCAACGCAAAGAACGUGGCAGGCAUGGAAACGAGGCUGCUGCUAAGCAGGAAGUCAGGGGAAUGGAUGUUGACGUAAAAGUAGUGAAAUCUGCUCCAGAGAAAGUUUUGCAUGAGGGUUUGGAUGCAGAGAACCAUGUUGGCAAGAGGUGGGGAGUUGUAUAUACAAGAAAGCGGAAGUGUGUAGAUUCUAGUCUUGUUGAAUCUUCAGAUAAUGGUAAUAAGAAAAGGAGCAUAGAUGACAAGAGGUAUGGGAGGCAGUUUUUUAGAAAGCAGUGGAGGAAGAAAAACAUACAGACGGAGUUGGCUGAACCAGGUGAUUCAAAUAUGGCUUUGAUGGCACUAGAAGAAUCACUAGAUAAUGCCAGAUGUCAUUUCCUUUUGGUAGUUUUUGACUCUUCCUGUUGUAGCUGGUAUAUGGCUGCAUCUUUUCUGAAUUCUAUUUUGAGGUAUAUGAGGCAGGCAAGAGUUGGUAUCCAGCAGCUAUUUGCAUUCCUUCACUCCAAGGCAAUUGCGCUUGUAUACUCUUCUUGUGGCAUCCAUUUUCUGCAGGUAAUGUAGUAUUUCCUGUUUUGCCGUUUCUCAGGUACUUGAUUUGGCUAAAUUCGUUCUUGCUGCAAAUCUCAGAAUUUCUUUACCCUUUUCAUUUUCUCAGGGCUCUAAUGUAGUUGCCGAGCGUGGAGUUUGCGUGAUAUGGGGUACCAGUUGUUUGGUACCGGUUUUUGCUGUGGAUUAUUCUGCAGUUCCUCAUUGUUUUAUGUAUUUGCAUUCAAGAAUGCUACUCCAUUUUGCUCAUCUGAUGUAUUCUGUUGAACGAUGGUUAGUGGGUAUAGAUGAUAAAAAUGAUAAUUUAUCAAAACUGUCCAUGCUUACUGAAAGCGUCCAAACUUCUGAUUACUCUGGGAAGACGGAGGUGUCAGUGUCAGUGUCAAAUGUUGCUCCUACUAAAUUAACUGGUCGAAACCUGCAACUGAGGAAUGGUCGUAACAUUCAGAGAAGUUCAUUUAGAUCAAAGAGGGGCAGACGGCCUUCCUCUUUUGGUGCCCGAAAAGCUAAUGGAGCUUUGGCUUCUAAUCUACUUAGCUUUAGACAUAAUAGCAAUCAACUUUCCCCAAUAACACCGAGACAUGAGCUUAGGAGUUCGACUGUCAGGCAUUCUGUCACAAAUAUCAAACAAGUCAAGUCUUCCCUGGGGGGAUUGAAACAGGAUAUUGAUCCCACUAGCUGUUUUGCAAAUAUACUGGUUAUAGACUCUGACAAGUGUUAUAGGGAAGGAGGAGCUAUUGUCACAUUAGAAGUUUCUGCUGAAAAACAGUGGCAUCUUGCAAUAAAGAGAGAUGGAGUGAAGAGGUACAGUAUCAUCACUCAAAGUCUUAUGAGAGCAUGUAAUUGUAAUCGCUUCACUCAUGCCAUGAUGUGGGGUAUGGAUAGUGGUUGGAAGCUAGAGUUCACUGAUAAGCAGAACUGGUCGAUUUUCAGAGACCUGUACAAGAAGUGUUCAGAUCGCAAUGCACGGGUUCCUGUGGAGAGUUUCAUUCCUGUUCCUGGGGUGCAUGAAGUGUCUGGUUAUGUGAACAGCGGCAAUUAUGUAAGGCCUGCUACAUAUAUAAGUGUAAAAGAUGAUGAACUGAGUAGGGCGUUAGCAAGGAGAACAGCAAACUAUGAUAUGGACUCUGAUGAUGAGCAGUGGCUAAAUAAGAAUGAGUUUCAUAAACUUUUGUCUGCAGAGGAGUUUGAGUUGGUAAUUGAUGCUUUUGAGAGAGGUUUUCACAGCAAUCCAGAUGAUUUCUCUGAUGAAACAACAAUUCCUAACAUAUGCCUGAAUGUGGAAAGGAGUGUUUUAGAGGCUGUGCACAGCUUCUGGGUUAAUAAACGGAAGCAGAGACGCGCAUCCUUGAUCAGGAUUUUUCAGGUAUGAUUAGAGGCUUUGAUAAAAGCAUGUAGUCAAACUAUUUAUAUCAUUUUCAUAUGAUAUUAGAAUGUGGAAUUGUAUGUCGGAAGUUGUCAUUUUGGUUUUAUCAUCAACUUUCAGUGGAAAAGUAACUUCUACAUGUAUGAUGAUGGCUAGCAAAAUAUUUAGUAAGAUGUUUUUGUAGCAUUUCUCUUCAUCUUUAGAAACUUUAUGCAUCAUUUUGUUAAGUUUUGUAGCAUUUCCUAAUUCUGUCUUUGCAGUUGUAUCAGCCAAGGAGAACCCAAAUGAUACCAAAUUCUGUCCUCCGCAAGAAAAGGACAUUCAAACGACAGGGAAGCCAAAUUGGAAGAGGCAAACAGCGUCCUUUUCUUAAAGGUGUAAAAUCUUUAAAACCCAAUAAGUUAAGAUUUUGGACUUGUGAUUUUCUGUGUUUAUUAUCUUUUAGAGAGUUUUGUCAGUGGCAGAGAGUUGUGUGUGUGCAAUACCUUGAGUUUGCAACAUUGUUGAUUGUUUUAAGUUGUCUGUCUACAUUUGGAGUCAAUUAGGCAUGUCCUUUUGAGGGUCUGGAGGUUAAGAUGAGAUGCUCCAGGUGAGUUGCAUGGCAGCCUUGAAUGUCUGUACUUAGGGUCUCUUUGUCCUCGUGCCAUCAUUAAUUUUAAGUUGUUCCUGGAUAGCAUUUCAAUUUUGUUGUAUAGUCUAGUUAAGGCGUUUAAUUGAGGACAAAGCUAAAUUAAUUUUUAUCUCCUGAAGUAAUUCUAGCUUGUCUAGUGUUUUGCUGGCUUCAUAUCUUUGAAUUUGUAGUUCUGCUUAAUUGACGGGUUGGAUGAAAUCUUUAUUGCAAAGGGGGAGUUAAUUGGAUGUCAAAAGCAUCCCCUUUAAGCUUUGUAACAUGAAAGAAAGUCAGUUUUUAAAUUCAGACUUGAAGAGUUUUUGAAUUUGAUUCUGGCAGUAAUGGCGGCUGAGCAAGAUGCUGAGGAACAACAAAAUGCCGUUUUGAAGGUGGAAGAAGCCAAAGCUGCAGCAGACAGGUCAGAAGGGUUGGCGGUUCUUAAGCGUCAAAGAGCUCAGCAGCUCAUGGAAAAUGCUGAUUUGGCAUCUUACAAAGCUGCCAUGGCACUUAAAAUUGCUGAAUUGGCUCAAAUUGCGGAAUCGACAGAUAACGCUGAUCUCCGUCUCCCAGUCGGGUUACUGGAUUUGUUUCCGGAGACCUGAGCUCAAAUUGCUGAGAGUACCCAUGGCGGCCUUUUUGAGAGUGCCUUGGAGGUGGUUCAACCUUUGACAGUAGUAUCAUUGUUGUAAUUUUGUAUAGAUUCUGAUUGGGGAUGUACAUUCUGUAUUAUGACGUCAUACGCGGAUUUCUACAAGAACUUUGAAUUGUUUAAAAGAAAACGCAGGAAAAUAGAGAAAAUAGUGUUUUUUUUUUUUUUUUGUGUGGCCCCUUUUAAGACUCCAUUAUUGCACUCAUGCUGAAUCCGCCUGUUAGUCUUUUCCUUUAGAAAUAUUGGAGACUAAGUGGUUUCAGGAGCAAUGGAGGCCGGAAAUGAAUUGCAAAUGUGUUUAGGAAGUUGGAGCAGAGUCUGGGAGACGGCGGGUUGGCUCAGUGGGAAUGUAGCAUCCAAAAAGGCCAAAAAAUGAAAAAAGGGUGUGGGUCUAAAUGGGGUCACAGGAUAGUUGGGCCGAGAAAUCAUUCUUGGCCUGCUUGGUUCGGUCUGGGCCUGGCUGUUUAUUUUUGUAGCAUCUAGUAUUGUUUUUGACCGAGUUCGUUAGUCAGGUGGCUGUGAGAUUUUUGAUUUAAAAUGCUCAAGAGUCUACCGUUGGGAGGUUAGCGGUGUUUGUUCUUUACAAUCUCUUAAAGAUGUAUUUAGAUUUUAAGUAUAGAUUUAGAAAAGCUUAAUUGAAAUUAUACCUAGACGGACGGGGCUGACUAGUUUACGUCAUGGCUCUAUAUUUAUUCAUUUACUUUUCCUUUUGAGAAUAAGUCAACUUCUUUGCCCAGUUUGACUUUUGAGGGAAUGAAGAGGAAUUGGGUGCAUGGUUGAACGAUAGUUUUGAGUCAAUUGCGGGGUAAUCCAACCAAGGCUGAAAUUGAAAGAUGCGUAGUACUGUAUUAAAUAACAGAUAGAUUAUUUUUGGGUUAGUGGGUAUAUCAGGGAGGGAGGGAGGGAGGGAGAAGGAUGAAUUGGGUGGUGGUUGGAGGAGCGAGUACAAGUGACAAGUCUGGACCGUUAUAUCAAAAAAAACUUUCAAGAAAUUGUGGCGUUUGAAAUGCAUAGCCACCGAGAUUGAAGACAUGUAAACGCUUUUGUUGGUCGCUACGCUCAAGUGGGCGUAGAAAUUGGAAGUCCUGCGAACUUCCCGUGUCACUUCUGGUCCAUUCCCCCCCCCCCCCCCUAUUGUGAAGUGAAGUCAAAUCCUUCAUCACAAUGAUCACAAAUAGUAGUACUAGUAGUAGUUUGUUAAAAGCAUGGUGGUAAGUAAAACUCUAGAGGACUUGACAAAUGAGCUUUGUGGACCAGAUAAAAACAGUGCAGUCAUAUAAUUUGACUGCCGGGCAUGUGUGUUUUUGGUACAUUUCACCUUUCUUUUUGGAACGAUUUUGUCAGGUGUGAGAUGACCAACAUUUUUCAUUCAGAACAAAAAAAAAGAAAGUUGUAUCAAGUUCCUUCACAUGAUGAAAUAUUCAUAUUUUAAGCCAUACACUGCUUAGAUACUAAUCGCGUGCCAUUUGAUUAUACUUUUACGCCUCCGUUAAGGAGCCAUUAUUUGAUUUUAUUACCUUUCGCGUCAGGGUUGAUUACAUUUAUUUCGCCCCGUAUUAAUAUGCUUGUCUCACUUUCCCAGUUCAAUUUAGGCGCUAUUUGACGAUUCAAUUCAGCACUUAAAUUUCAUAGACGCAUUUUAUAACUGAAAAUAGAACAUCUGGAUCAAUUAAUUGGCACUGAAUUUUUUUAGACAAAACUUGUUUGUAAAAAUAAGUGGCAGCGUAUUCACUCAUCGCGCUUAAUGUGAUAUACAUUCAAAUAUAUCAGAUUUAAUAAUUAACAAUUAAAUAAUUUAACGGAUUCGGAUUUCAAUUUUCAAACUUCAAUUUUAUUAGUACAAUAGCACUUAGCCCUCAAUUUUUCUGAAUAGUGAGCGUAACUAGGUAAAUAUGCCCCUACUAGUAUACUCUUUUUCCUUUCUACACCUUCUUUCUUUUUCACCUUUCUUCUUUUGUGUAUCAUGCCACUACUUUUUUCACGAAGUUUCAUUUUUCUUGCUUUCUUUUUCUUCUUUGCAUGCUUACACUGAAUUCAUCCAUCUGCUUAAUCUCAAUAUCUCAAUUUAAAUAAAAUCUUUCAAGUGAUAUGUAAUAUUUUUCUAGGAAUAGUGCAUUGAUCAUGAGCUAUAGCAUGUAUAAAUUCUAGUAAUUAUAUAUUCAACUACAUGUGCCUCCAAGAUACAAGCAAUAAAUGUUGCAUAAUUUAUUAGUUUUUGUAUUGCAAUGGGUUAUCUAUUAUUAUCUUUCCAAAAGAAAUUGGUAUUUUUUUUCCUACUAGUCUUUUUUGCAUAGAAAAGUCUAAUUUACUGCACCCCAUCAUUAUUGUACUUGUCCAUUAGAAAGAUUACUUUGAAGCUUUAUCAUGGCAUUGUGUUGUACUUUAUUUGGACAGAAAGAGAAACAAAGGGAACAAAAGGCAAAUGCAAAGAAAAGUGAGACUCAUCUUUGUUCCCCAAAGUUUAAGAAAGGGCAAAGUGAUGAUAAACCACAUCUAGGAGGCAAAAUAAUAAAAAGCAUAUAAAUGUAAAAGGAUAAGCAUAGAAUUUAUAGUGGACAACCUAGAGUUUGGUUGGGUAAAGGGAUUACAAAAGUGACUCAAACCCUCCCGUAUUUUAACAAGACUAUAUUUGAUCCACAAUUAUACAAUCAACCAGAUAAAUUACACCUUAUUCAAACUACUACUCAUCCAUGCAUUUAUGAAUCCAGAACAAAUUGCGAGACUUGAAAACAAAGCCUCUGAAUCCUAGAGUUUCAACGUUGACAGUCGCGACUAAAUCAUCUCGCUUGUUGCUAAGCCACAAAAGUAGAAUUAGUAGUGUGCUGCAGCUUCUCCCCAAAUCUGUCGCUAUAACAGCUCCAAACCCUACCGGAGAAACCCAUAAUAUCUGACUUCAAAGUCGCUCAAAAAGACUUUGUCAGGUUUGGCGUCCUGACAAUCUCAACAACCUACGCCUCAGAAAUUCGUUCUGUAGUAUACACAUCUCACUGGGCAUGCAUGGGAUGGGACGGCGUCGACUUCUUUUGGCCCUGAAGUCUUUGUUUCCCUUUGCUAUACGAUCACUCGCUAGCACAUUUGGAGCUUUAAUUUGGUAAAAUGGGGACUGAGUCAAAAUGGUACCACUCAAUUUAGAACGCACUGCGUUCUCACAAUCCGAUUCGCUAUGGAUUCCUUUGAAAGCGAUUGAACCAGUAGGUACAGCACAGGAAAUUCAAGCAUAUAACAGUUUCUGAAAAUUCUUGUAUAGAAAAACAUACUGUAACAAUUUGAUGUAUAUGAGGUAAAAAGGUGAUUGAAAAAUGUGUUCACUAAAAAUAUUUUUUUAAAAAAAUUUCUGUGAAAAAUUACUAUCCAAACAAGACCGUAAGAUAGAAGCAAUAUAUAGCAUAUCUCGUACACACACACACACACAUAUAUAUAUAUAUAUGUGGAUCUUUAAUGAUGUAAAAAAGAAAUGAACGACUUUUUAACACAUUUAACAAUAACCACUUAAUAUGGCAUCUGUUAUUUUACAAUGGUAACAAAUUUUUUAAAACAUCCCAAAAAAAAAAAACCACCAACUCCAAGUCAGCGUAGACUAGUAUGUCGGCAUGAUCGCCCUUUAUUGGAAAGUCGGUGAAAUCUCAGCUUCCAUUAUAUGCAUGCCUCCGAGGUUAAGACAACUCCAGGUGUUGCAAGAUCAUCUCGAGUGCCAACUACUCUUGCGGCUAUUUUUAAAAAAAAAAAUUUUUCUAGCAAGAGAGGAGUGGAAUGGGAAAAAUGGGGGUUUGAUUCCAGGACAAUAUCGGGGGCCUCAGCGACUCUUGCGGCAACGUGUCGAAAAGCUCGCCACAAGAAGUAACAAUUCUUACCCUGGGAUCUAUCUUGAUGUAUGAAUUUGUGUUUACUACAUAGUUGACUCUGUUUACAAAAAAAAAAAAUUAAAAACAUUUCAAGUUUUCACCUUCUAAAAAAACAAAAAAAAAAUGACUGCUUUUGUUCUUCGCAUGAAUUCCUUCCACGCGGCCCUACUCUUUAAUCACCCCAAGGUCUGGCGCAUGGUCAAAGAUUAGGAAAAAAAAAAAAAGUUGUUGCCGAAUUCUGGUCUGGCGCGCGCCCAUAGAAUCCUGAAGCAAUAAUGGUCAACGAAUAUAAAAAGAUGUUGAUUUUUUCUAAUGAAUAUUUACUGGGCACUUAUUACUCGUUAAUAUAGUGAACUUCCACUUAGUGUAGAUGUCCAUGCAUCCCUGCAAUGUUUGGUACGUCAAGAUAUAUACUCUCUCCCUUUUUUUAUAACUGACGUUUAAGAAAUUUGCUCUUAAGUACUUUUAUCUGUCGUUGUAUUAUCUCCAUGCAGCAUUAAUUAUUUUUUCACAAUUUUACCAUUUUAUCUCUCUUUACCAAUACAUGGCUCUUAAUUACUACUCCUAGUAAUUAUUACUUCUCUCUUUGCUUUUGGCCUAGUAAAACAGCACCAUUUAAUAGUCUAGUGAGAGAAAACAUGAGUAAAUUGGACAAUUAAUGAGGGUACAAAAGGAAAGUAGUGUAUAGGUUUAAACAAUGAAAAACUUUUCUUAAUUGGUGUGCAAAACCUUAAACGUCAGUUAUAAAAAAAGGGAGGGAGUAUUUUCGUUUGUUCAUUUAUGAAACUACUAAAUUCAUGUAUUUAUAUUAAUAUUAAUACAUGUGCCUUUAACCUUGUAUCAACUUAAAUGAUUGUAAAUCUCAUUUGUAACCUUUUGGAAUAUUUGAUAACAGAAACGGAUAACGAAAACAUUCUCUCAUUAUUUAUUUUCUUGUCUUUACCUCGCUAUCUUCAUUCCUUACUUUGAGCAGUUUAUUUUACUCCCUCCGUUCCAUUUUGUUAGUCUUGAUUUUUUUUUUUUCACACAGAUUAAGAAAAUGUAAUUAAUUUGGUUGGAAACAUAAAUUUAGAUUAAUAAUUUCCUAAAAUACCCUUAUGCUAAUCACGAAGAGUGCCAAUUAUAUCAGUUACAGCUAAUGGGUUAGUAUUGGAAAAGCUCAAUGUAUUCAAUGUAGUGGGUUAGUAUUUAAUAAUAAUGUAUUAAUAACAAGAUAUUUAAUAAGGGUAUUUUAGACAAUUUAAAAGAUUACUACAUUUCUUAAUGGGAAAGUGGACUACAAUUUGGGACAGGCGAAAAAAGAAAAACAAGACUAUCAAAGUGGGACGGAGGGAGUAUUGGUUUUACAACAGAAAGAGAAAGCUCCGGAUUGGUCAGCAGUUGCAUUAUCUUUUUAUCCUCACAUUUUCCGUUUGGGUAGGCGAAUCCAUUCAAUCAAAGCAAGUUCGAUUAACGUAAUGAUUGAUUUCCUGAAUGCCACCUGGAGAUUUGAAUUAAUUAGAUGUGGCCGCAGCACAAGGUUUGUUUUCUUGCACGACCGGGACAGCAUGAAUAUAUCAUAAUUGCCGACCCUCGACUUCGUCCUUCUACGGAACUUGCUGAAUCCCUGAUUGGUCGUAUUUCCUUCUCAGGACUUUUAACAGAGGAGAAAGGAUCGUUAGUGUAGACUCCAUUUUCACGGCAUCUUGACGUCUUUAGCCGUUUAUCGUGUCCCCCACCACCCCUGAAAAAGAGGUGAGGCCAGUGUUUCAGAGCAAGUCAAAUCAAAUGCGGCUUGGAAUUCCUGAAAAUUGGCGUGAAUACACGUCAUAGUGCCAAUGUAUAUCAAUCUUCAUAACUGAUAAAUGCUUACCACUUGAGUAUCCUUCUCUGCCUACAGGUCACAUUUAUGCUUCUAGAGUUCGAUCCCAGAGGUCUCUGCUUAAGGAUUCAUCAGUGCAUAAAAGAGAGGGAUUGAUCCAAAGCCUUUUUCUCUUCUCCGACAUUUAGUAAAGUCAUUUGACUUUAUGGAUGGUAGCUUUAAAUAAAGCCACCAAUUUUCAAGCGAUUUAAACCCUAAUCAGAGGGUGGGCCAUGCCCAGUUGCCCACAGCCCAAGAUUAGAGAUUUGCGUUUUGCGAGACGUAAGAAGGUUCUAAAACCCUUUUGGUCCCGUCUACGAUGACGAUUUCAGGAGCAGCCGUAAUCGAAAAUCAAGUUCGGUGGAGAAAGAUAACCACACGUAAGUGGAUUUUUAAUGUCCUUAAAUUGUCCUUUUCACUACGAGUCCAAAAUACCCGUAAUUUUCCUUUACGGCUUCCCGUUCAGAUAUCUCUUUCCAUUUCUAGGCACCAAAAAAAAGGGUAAAUAUCGGGUUUGUUUGGAUUGUAAGUUAUUUGGGAUAUUUCUACUGUAGCACUUUUUAUGAUGAUGUGACGUAUGUGAGAUAAAAAUGUAAUUGAGAAAAUAAAAAGGUGUAUUGGAAAUUGUAAUGAUGAUGCAAACAAAUAAAGUUGAGAAAAUAAUGCUCAAUCCAAACAAACCGAUCGUCGCCGGUCAAAAACCCAACUUUUCGUGUAUAUAUAUAUAUAUAUGUGAUUUUGAGAAGAGUAUGAAAAUUUACUGUCAAAAUUUCAUGUAUUAUUGCACCAAGCACCGUUGGACCGUUUUCAUAUAUUGCCCCCCCCCCCCCCCAAUUUUUAAUGUUCAUUUCAUGUUCUACAAGCAACGCCGCCGCAAUUACAAGAAGCCAAAAAUCAUUGGGUUACCGGUCAGUUAACUGUUUGUAUCCAUCCCUUUGCUGUACCUUCAUUGAUGGAGACUCGACGCCAUCCUCAUUUAUGAGCCCAACUGCAUUUCCUUUUGCCGUUUUCUUUCUCAAACGCUUGCUGCUCGCUCUUUACAUCUUUUCUAGUACUUAGAACUAACAGUUGAAGAUAUUAAAAAACCGAACUUUUUGAUGGUUCUUUUUUUUUUUUUUUUUUUUUUUUAUAUGCUUGGGUUAUUUAUUUAUUUUUUUUAAAGUUUUGUGAAUUUUGACUUCACAUAAGUAGUCCACAAAUCAAGAAAACAAAUUCUAGAUAAUUCAAAACCCUUUCGUGCUAUCACAAAUUCUAGAGCUCCAAAGCGAACAUAUUGUAUUGAAACAUCAGAUAUAAAAAAUGAAUACAACAAUGUGCAAAUAUUACAAUAAUAUAUGUUUGCCCUUUUCAUAAUUUGUACCUCAAACUCAAUCUUAACCCUCUAUUUUGAAAUAAACCAAUCUCUCGCAAUGAAAUUUACCUUGCAAUCACUAAUAUUAGUAGCUCUUUUUUUUAUAUAUAUAUAUAUAUAUUUAUUUAUUUUAAUACCCCUCCAAGGCUCCAACCAGUGAUGGGCAUAAAAAAUGUCUCCUUCUCGGGUCCGUCCAUUUAAUGCUUUUGAGUCCAGACGCUAUCACAAUUCACCAGACGCCAUUUCAGCACCAUCAAGAAUGAUCUUCCUCCAUUUAAUUAAUACUACUGUUAGCCAUUAGGAUUGGGUUUCCAACUCAGAACCCAUUUUUUUUUUUGGAUCAGCACUUCUCAAAAAAUCUCAAAAAACAUACUCUUAUCUUAUAGUUGGGGGAAACAAUAAUAAUAAUGUAAGGCCACAAACACAACGUUAGUGGCAAAAAGGAAUUACCAAAAAAGAAAAGAAAAUUAAUUAAUAAUGAACUAUUUACCACAUAGUCCUUUUCCUUUCCAAAAUAAGAGCAGUAAAAGAGCAUUUAAUUCCUAUCUUUCUAGGCCACUCUAUCAAAUAGAGUAGUAAUUAGGUAGUGGACCACUGAUGAAAUAUCUGUCCACCUAAAAAGUUUGCAUUUCUUGCGGAUGUGAUUUUUAAUUAGGUCCAAACGAAUUAGCAGAAUAGUGUCUCUAGUUUUCCCAACCAAUUUACGUUAUUGGUUCGGAGCCAGUGUACUAGAACUAGAAGGCCGAAUUCUUACCAUUUUACCCAUGGUUUAAGUAAUUCCUUUUUUUUUUUUUUUUUUUUUUUUUGUAUUUUGGGAUGAUGGUUAAGGUAAUUCCUAAGCAAGAAAAGUGAUAGUAGUGUAAUUCAUGGUAGGAGUAAAGAAUUGACAAAUUAAAUACCAAAAAAUGUAUAAUAUUGUGCAAAAGGUAUCAUGAAAAAAAAUUAUGAAUCACAUUUGAGUUGAAUUCGAACGGAGUUGAGUUUGUGCGAAUUUAAACAAGUAAUUGUGCCUUUCCAAAGUUGGGGUUAUUCCUAAUUACCAAAAUUAAAAUAUAUGUUUGAAUCCUAAGUCCUAACGAAAUGUGAACUAAAAGAUACUCGUGAAUACGAUAUAUUUUGAGCGUAUUCGAAUUCGUUUAGAUUCAAACGACAAUUUGAAAUUUUUAUUAAUUAUACUUUACAAAUUAAAAAAUCUACUUACAAAUAAAUAUAAAUAAAAAUCUACAAGAAUUUAAAAAAAAAAAAGGACCGUAGAGGUUGGAGCUCUGUAAACGGUUUAAACCAAAAAUCCCAUGAAGAAUUUGUACAUACAUAUAAAUUUCUAGCAGGAUCGUUUAAGUUAAGGGCGUCGAGAGCACAGAAUAGGAAAACAAUUUUCAACCAUUCUUCCUCUAGAAGCUCAUGUUAGUGAUGCUGCUUUUUUUUUUUUUGGGGUCAAAAUAGUGAUGCUACUUUCGGAUCACAUUUUUCUUGUUCUCAUCAAUUAUCUAGUCGUCUGAAAUCUGAUAGUACCAAUUAAUUUUUCUACGACUUUAUAAAUUAUCAUCAGUGUAUUUUAGUAAUUGCUCUGUAAUAGCAUUAUUAAUUCUCGCACACAUUUUCUGGCUUGGAAAAUCAAAAAAUAGGUCCGGUUAUUCCUUUUCAUCUAAUUUCCUGUUUCCACAAAAUACCCGUAAAUGUCAAAGACGCGAAACAAAUGUCAACUGCGCAGCGUGUAAAGAGUAAACACAAAGAAAAAGUUGGCUGUACAACUCUGUCCUCAUCUGAGGAAGGAAGAGUGCAAGUACAACUCUGUCCUCAUCUGCUAAAUCAUUAUCUUAAUCAGUUCAUCAGCAGAUUCUUUGAGAGUAUAAAAUGAAAAAGAGAGCUUGUCGGUUUUACAAGCUGAAAUUUUGUUUAAGGCCAUUCUCAUAUUCUAAAGAUUUGAAGCCAUCCACCCUCCCUCCAGAGUUCCCCCAACAAGUCCGGAAGCUCUUCUGCUGCUAAAUACUGCUCACUAAUUGGAUCGCCCCAUUCGGGCAAAGAAAAAAAAAAAAAAAAAGGACACAAACUGGCUGUCGUCGUUGGGAGUGUCUUUUCCACCAGUUUUGCUCUGCUCCUCAUAAUCCACAGUUUUUGACUUGGCUUUACAUAUCUGCCCAUCUUUCUUGCCUUUUUGGCUUUUUACGAGUGUUAUUCGCAUGCAAUUAUUUGAUUCAAGAAGAAUCUGUGUAGUAAAAGUAAUAGUAACAGUAAUAGCAAGAGCAAGAGUAGUAGGAGUACUGCUUCUGCCAACCGCCUAACCAUGCUUAUUUAUGUAGCUUAAGUCAUGGUAGAGGGUCCCCAGUCGCCAUAAUUUCCAAUAUACAUCUUUAUCCACUAUGAACUCUGCACUUGCAACUCCCUUAUUCAGUUUACUCCGCUGUCAAAAACUACCAAGCUUAUCAAAUAUGGGCUCCCUGCAGUUCUUGAAUCUUCACAUUGGUUGAUUCAAUCGAAUACAAUUCAAUUCAUUCAUCUUCUCACUUUUAUGUGAGUUCCUAACUCAAAUCCAUUAGCAAUUGGUUUAUGUGCUUGUGCUUAUUGUUUUUCAUUAUCUUCUGUUUUUUUUUUCCCCUUACUUUUCCCUGCAACCAUGCUGAUAUUUACUUGGGACAUGCAUAUGCUGUUUUGGUUGAUACACAAGUUAUUUUGGUCAUUUCAUUGAUCUGAAUUAUAAAAACUAACUCCUCCUGGUUUUUCAUUUGUCUCCUUCAGUUACAUCUGUGCAGACAGUUUCUCAACUGUUAGAGCAGGCAAUCCCAAGAAAAAUAAAGUUCCGCUUUACUGGGAUUCUGAUUUAAUCUGUAACUAUUAAAACUAAUCAUUAACUUGCUAUGCAACUACGUUCUUUUUGUUUCUUUUCUCGGCAAUUCGAUUGAAUGGCUGAUAUGGACAGGUUUAUUGCAUUUUAUGUCUCUGAAUCCUCUUCAGUUUUAGCUUAGGACUAAUAUUUAGAUAAUUUUGGUAUUUGAAGGUUUCAAGGUGCGAAGAGAUCUUGGUGUGAAGGGAAGAAUUAGUUGUUCUGUGUUUUAGUCUUUGCAAAGGAUAGAAAUGGCUACACUCGGCAGAGAUGACCUUACGAGGUCCAUCAGCAGAGGGUCUACGAGUAGAAGGUUGAGCUUGUCAAUCAGCUCAAGAAGUUGGGCUUCAGCCAGUGUUAAGGAAGUAUUUGCCGGGCCUGGUGGAGAUGUAUUCCAGAGAAGUAGGAGGGAAGAUGAUGAAGAAGAGUUGAAGUGGGCCGCAAUUGAGAGACUUCCGACAUAUGAUCGAUUAAGAAAAGGGAUGCUGAAGCAAGUGUUAGAUGAUGGGACAGUCGUUCGAGAGGAGGUUGAUGUUGCCAAUCUUGGUAUGCAAGAUAGGAAGCAACUCAUGGAAAGUAUCCUGAAAGUUGUGGAAGAAGAUAAUGAGAGGUUCCUUCAAAGACUCAGAGACAGGACUGACAGGUGAGGCACUUCAUACUUUCAAGUUAUUAUACUUUUUAAUUUGUUAUUUUUUAUGCUUUGAAAGUGCAUGAGGAGAUAGUUUAUCUGUCUGUCCUACUGCUAGGUCACACAUUUUAGUAUAAACGAAUCUCACUUUUGUUAAACAGGGUGGGUAUUGACAUCCCCAAAAUUGAAGUACGAUAUGAGCAUUUGUCGAUUGAAGGAGAUGCAUAUGUAGGAUCCAGGGCUCUUCCUACUCUGCCAAAUGCUUCAUUCAAUGUGGUUGAGGUAGGUAGUAACCUUCGGGGUGAGAUUGUCUAAUGGAAUAGAGAAAAUGCUAAAGUAUAACAUAGUGCUUUUAUCAUUGCAGCGUUUUGACACAUAUUGUGAUAAUAUGAAUUACUAUUUUUACCUUAAUCUUUCUCUGAAUUUUUUCCCAAUUAAUAGGGCAUUCUUGAAAAAUUGAGGGUUUUUCCGUCAAAGAAAAGGGUUGUGAAGAUACUUCACGAUGUAAGCGGAGUUGUAAAGCCAUCCAGGUUGGUCUUUGGAAUUGAACUGAAUGCUUAACUCUCAGUUUGGCAAAACAGUUUUAUGAACGAGAAUUUUUUCUCUUUGGGCACUUCUAUGGAAGUGAUCAGAGACCAAAAGUCUCUAUAUUGUUUCUGUAUCAACUGUUGCAUGAGAAAAAUUAGAAUUCUCCAACCCUGUGCACUGGGCUGGUUCAUACCAUCUGAAAUUUAGGAUUGCCAGUUAUGAUAUGUUUUAUACGUCUUAUUACAGUCAUCUUGUCAAUUUUUUUUUGUUUAGGAUGACACUACUUCUUGGACCACCAGGCUCUGGGAAAACUACUUUUCUGAAGGCCCUUGCUGGAGCCCUGGACAAGGAUCUUAGGGUUUGUGAUUUUCAUUCUUCUUGCUCCACGUUAUGCAAAAUUUGGAUGUCUUUCUGGCGUGUAAUCCAAUUCAAUUGUUUUCUGCAACUAUUGUGGACAGGUCACUGGAAAAAUCACUUAUUGUGGUCAUGAAAUGUCAGAGUUUAUUCCUCAAAGGACUUGUGCCUAUAUUAGCCAGCAUGAUCUGCAUCAUGGAGAGCUGACUGUCAGGGAGACAUUGGACUUUUCGGGGCGAUGCUUAGGUGUUGGAACCAGAUUUGACCUUCUUGCAGAGCUUUCAAGGAGAGAAAAAGAUGCUGGAAUAAAGCCUGACCCUGAGAUAGAUGCGUUCAUGAAAGCCACAGCGGUGGCAGGCCAAGAAUCUAGUCUUGUCACAGAUUAUGUUCUUAAGGUUUGUUAACUUGCAUGCUAUAAUGAAUUUCUAAAGUCAAAUCAAAUUGAACAUAUGAACUGAUGAUUGAAGUGAUAAAACAGAUUCUUGGAUUAGAUAUUUGUGCCGAUAUUAUGGUAGGUAAUGAGAUGAGGAGGGGCAUCUCAGGUGGACAGAAAAAGCGGCUUACUACUGGUAAGUAGAAUCAUAUCAGACAAAGUCCAAAGAUCAAUUCUCUAAUUCUUCCUUUUCUUAAUUUACAAGGUGCCUGAGAGCCAUGCUAAAUUUUGCUAGUGCAUUACAUCAGUGCAAUGACAAUUGGUUUGUUGGCUAAAUGCAGGAGAAAUGCUUGUUGGCCCUGCCAAGGUCUUUUUCAUGGAUGAGAUCUCAACAGGUCUUGAUAGUUCCACCACUUAUCAGAUAGUCAAGUUCAUGAGGCAGAUGGUCCAUAUCAUGGAUGUGACAAUGAUAAUUUCACUUCUCCAACCUGCUCCAGAAACUUAUGAUCUCUUUGAUGAUAUCAUUUUGCUUUCGGAGGGACAGAUUGUCUACCAAGGUCCAACUGAGCAUGUUUUAGAGUUCUUUGAGAGUGUUGGUUUUAGGUGCCCAGAAAGGAAAGGGGUCGCCGACUUUUUACAAGAGGUUACAUCUAUGAAGGACCAAGAGCAAUACUGGUUCAGGAAAAACGAACCUUACCAUUACGUUUCUGUUCCUGAAUUUGUAGAGCGCUUCAGUUCUUUCCAUAUUGGACAGAAAAUUUUUGAUGAAAUUGCUAUUCCAUAUGACAAAGCUAAAACUCAUCCUGCUGCAUUAGUCACUGAAAAGUAUGGUAUCUCCAGUAUGGAACUUCUUAAAGCAUGUUUAGCAAGGGAAUGGCUACUGAUGAAACGCAACUCUUUCUUAUACAUAUUUAAGACCACUCAGAUCACUGUCAUGUCAAUCAUUGCUUUUACAGUGUUUUUUAGGACAGAAAUGAAGGUUGGUCAGCUUCAGGAUGGAGGCAAAUUUUAUGGUGCCCUAUUUUUCAGCCUUGUCAAUGUGAUGUUUAAUGGUACAGCAGAGCUUGCUCUGACAAUUUUCAGGCUUCCCGUGUUCUUCAAACAGAGGAAUUCUCUUUUCUUUCCUGCAUGGGCUUUUGCUAUGCCAAUCUGGAUUCUCAGGAUACCGCUUUCACUAAUGGAAUCAUUGAUAUGGAUAGUUCUUACUUAUUAUACUAUAGGCUUUGCUCCUGCUGCUAGUAGGUAUUUUCUGCACCUUACCCUGAACAUAUAUCUGGAUAUUGUUGAUUAUACCUAGGUUUAUCAUAAGAGAUCCAGUAUUACAUGCUUACUACGUGAAAGAGUUACUGACAUAUGUCAUCUAACCCUGAAACUACUCAGGUUCUUCCGCCAAUUGUUGGCCUUUUUUGCUUUGCAUCAGAUGGCUUUGUCACUCUUUCGAUUCAUUGCCGCACUUGGAAGAGUGCAAGUUGUUGCUAACACUCUUGGUACCUUCACAUUGCUUAUGGUUUUUGUUCUUGGUGGUUUUAUCAUUGCUAAAGGUUAGUAUAUUUUAGCUCAUUGCAGUUUGAACGUUUUUGAACUAAUUCGAAUCAAUUUCCUAAGGGAUCUUGAUAAUUUUUAUGUUUAGUUAAUCAUUAAACAGAUUUUAAAAUCCAUGUCACUCAUGCAGAUGACAUCAAACCGUGGAUGAUAUGGGGCUACUAUGUAUCUCCUAUGUCGUAUGGACAAAACGCCAUAGUCAUCAAUGAGUUUCUGGAUAAAAGAUGGAGUACCGUAAGCUCUUUUGACAGUUUAUUACUAACAAUUUUUAUCUUCUCAAACAGCUGUAAUCGUCACUGCUUAGCUCAAAGUCCUUUUUCUUUUCUAGCCAUACCAUGGCACAGAUGUUCUUGAACCCACCGUGGGGAAGGUUCUUCUCAAGUCCAGGGGCAUGUAUACAACAGAGUCUAUGUAUUGGAUAUGUGUUAUUGCACUCUUUGCCUUCUCACUGCUCUUCAAUGUCUGCUUUAUUCUAGCGCUGACUUACUUGAAUCGUAAGUUUGUGACUUUUUGUUUAACAUGGAAGUCAUCGUCCCUAAUUCGAUGUUUGACAACUCUCUUUAAUCUGAUCGCAGCUUUUGGGGAUUCUAAAUCUAUUAUUGCGGAUGUGAAUGAUAAACAAGAUAAAAAGAAGCACUCCUCUAACUUAAGAAUUCCCACAGAAAGUACCUCAGCAUCUACUGCUCCAGUAUUUGAAGGUUUGGGAUCAGACUUGUUUUCAUCUUUUGCUAGUGUCAAUUUAUUUAUUGGAACUGUUAAUUUUCAUGCAUGUCUAUGGUGUCAUUCAGGCCUCGUUCCUAUCACGGAAGGAUCAAUUUAAACAGUUAUCUGUUCAUGUUCUGCAAAUAUAUCAUUUUCUUAGAAUCCAGAGUAGCUUUUCUCAGAGGAAAGUUUGGAGAGACCGUGGCUUUCAGAAUCCUAGCGAGCAUCUCUUUUCCCGUUACUUUCACUCUUAAAUCCUGCUGCUAUGAACAUCUGCUCUUUGCAAAACUCACAUUUCUUGAAUGAACAAACUAAUUGUUGCCCAUCUGGAUAUAGUUUGUAGUGAUUCUAAGAUCAUUUUCUUGUCCUUAAUUAUGGUAAAUGACGGCAAUCCUUGAAUUACAAUUUUCUUUAGUUAACUCAAACUUGUACAUAAGACUCAACAUUCACAGGGGCUAAGAAGAUGCUCAUUAUCAUUUGGAUAUGCAAAUAGGCUGCAUUUGAAACAUCACUACAGUGAGUACUAUCACUGUUGUUGUGCCCAUGCAUGACUGCCUUAAGUCUUUGUAUCUCAUGCUAAGGCUAAACUGAUGUGCUUCAAUAAGUUCCUGUUCUAGCCCUACCAAAAACAAACACAAUAUAACUGGUGUAAGUGAAAUUGCUUGUGUAAGGGUCUUUCCUGGCAUGCCAAGUGUUGGUUGGGCGUGUGAUGAUGUUGAGUUUCCUUUAAAUUUUUGGCAACACAUUUCUGCUAAAUCCUUUAGUUUAAAUAGAUAAAUUUGAAUCCUUAAGUUUAAUUACAUGCUUUUGAGACCUUAACUUUCUGGUAGAUAAUGAAUUCAGUAUGUAAAAUAUGUUCCCUCUUACUGUCAGUGAAUAUAAUACAACAAUAGGUUUUCUGUUUGGUUUCUUAUGGUUUAAAUGCUUACAGGUAUAGAUAUGGCAGUAAGACCUGCACCGCAGCGGAGCAACUUAAGUGUUGAAGAGAAUGGAAACAAGAAGAGGGGAAUGGUGCUACCAUUCCAGCCCUUGUCACUUGCGUUCAAUCACAUCAACUAUUAUGUUGAUAUGCCAGAUGUGAGUCAUCUCAUCUGAAACUUAUGCAACACAUAUCGGCAUAUGUUAUCCUCUACUUGUUGUGCAAAAUUAGAGAAAAAUCAUAUUACUCCUAAGGAUCUUGCUCAUGCCCUGUCAUCCUCUAGUUGGAAAGGCCAAUUAAAUCUGUGGUUGUGAAACUUUAGCUAUUGAUCUAAGUAACCAUCUUCUUAUCUUAGUUAUAGUCCAUUGAUAUGCCAUUAGCUUAGGUUGUUGAACUAUUUGAAACUGGCAUAUGCAGGCACAUUCCAUAAAUUAUCCUAUCAGUAUCAAGUCCUUUUGAUAAUUUGGAACUGCCAUUGUCAAUCUGAUAUGAGAUUAUGGUUUGUCUAUCAGGAAAUGAAAAAGCAAGGAAUUGAAGAUACUCGCCUCCAAUUGUUGCGCGAUGUUAGCGGUGCUUUUCGUCCUGGUGUUUUAACAGCAUUGGUUGGUGUUAGCGGUGCUGGAAAGACCACUCUGAUGGAUGUUUUAGCAGGAAGAAAAACUGGGGGAUACAUUGAAGGAAGUAUAAGCAUUUCUGGUUACCCCAAAAACCAAUCAACUUUUGCUCGCGUCAGCGGCUACUGUGAACAGAAUGACAUACAUUCUCCACAUGUUACUGUCUACGAGUCUGUUGUGUACUCGGCCUGGUUGCGUCUUUCUCCAGAUAUAGAUAAGCAAACAAGGAAGGUAUGCUGUCUUUUGGCUCUUAAGUUGAUUUAAUAUCUCUUUUUGUUUGCUUUCAAUGUUCUCAGGAUGCGUCUAUAGACUCCAAAUGUUUUCCUCUGCUCUUUUCCUCCACUAUCUUAUCAUCCUUGCCUUGCACAAUGAGUAGAUUUGAAUUUCAGUUUAUGUUAAGUAUUAACCAUCUUCACUUUGUUUUUCAGAUGUUUGUUGAUGAAGUCAUGGACUUGAUUGAGUUAAAUUCUCUAGGGAAUACUUUAGUUGGCCUUCCUGGAGUAGAUGGAUUGUCAACUGAACAAAGGAAGAGGCUCACAAUAGCAGUAGAACUCGUGGCUAAUCCAUCAAUAAUAUUUAUGGAUGAGCCCACAUCUGGUCUCGAUGCUAGAGCUGCUGCUAUUGUGAUGCGCACUGUGAGGAACACCGUAGACACGGGGCGAACAGUAGUCUGUACAAUUCACCAACCAAGUAUAGAUAUAUUUGAAGCAUUUGAUGAGGUAUUACCUGGUAGUGUAACAGAGAUAAUUUAUUGUAUGAUCAGGGAAUUUCCCUCCUAAUCUAAGGUGUUUCUUCUCAACUGAAUUAUCUUUGCUGUAUAGCUAUUGCUGAUGAAGAGAGGAGGGCAAGUCAUCUAUGGCGGACCACUUGGCCAACGUUCCCAUCUCAUGAUAGAAUAUUUUGAGGUAUCAGUUUAGUGGAGAUUGCUCUUUUCGCUUCCCUGGUUAAAUAUUUUUUUGCUGAUCCAAGAUUUAACAAAGAAAAAA
rnacentral:lncRNA from 1 species